rnacentral:lncRNA from 1 species
AACUCCAAAAUACUCCAAGGCAAGGUAUGAUGAAAUUGUGAAGGAAGUCUCCUCAUAUCUUAAGAAAGUUGGUUACAACCCUGACAAGAUCCCAUUUGUCCCAAUCUCUGGAUUUGAGGGUGAUAACAUGAUUGAGAGGUCUACCAACCUUGACUGGUACAAGGGUCCCACUCUCCUUGAGGCUCUUGACCAGAUCAAUGAGCCCAAGAGGCCUUCAGACAAGCCGCUCCGGCUCCCACUUCAGGAUGUCUACAAGAUUGGCGGCAUUGGAACUGUGCCUGUUGGUCGUGUUGAGACUGGUGUCCUUAAGCCUGGUAUGGUAGUGACCUUUGGCCCCUCUGGUCUGACCACUGAAGUUAAGUCUGUUGAGAUGCACCAUGAAGCCCUCUCUGAGGCUCUCCCUGGUGACAAUGUUGGAUUCAAUGUCAAGAACGUUGCUGUUAAGGAUCUCAAGCGUGGUUUCGUUGCUUCAAACUCUAAGGAUGAUCCUGCAAAGGAGGCUGCCAGCUUCACCUCUCAGGUCAUCAUCAUGAACCACCCUGGGCAGAUUGGAAACGGAUAUGCCCCAGUCCUUGACUGCCAUACCUCCCACAUUGCUGUGAAAUUUUCCGAAUUGCUGACCAAGAUCGACAGGCGAUCUGGAAAGGAGCUUGAGAAGGAGCCCAAGUUCUUGAAGAAUGGUGAUGCAGGGAUGAUAAAGAUGGUUCCCACCAAGCCUAUGGUUGUGGAGACUUUCUCUGAGUACCCACCACUUGGACGGUUUGCUGUCAGGGACAUGCGUCAGACUGUGGCUGUUGGUGUCAUCAAGAGCGUUGAGAAGAAGGACCCAACGGGUGCUAAGGUCACCAAAUCUGCUGCCAAGAAGAAAUGAGAUUGCAUUUGAUAGUAUCAGAGCCUUUUGAUUUUGGUUAUCUUUGUAGUUUGGUACUUGCAGUUUUUUAGACCAAUUUUGAUGUGUGUUCAUUUGGUUGAGACUGUCAUCUGCAUACGGAUUGUGUGUUUGCUUUUUCCGUGUCAAUUUUAGUUGAAUUCCUUCAAAGAAUGCUAAUUUGAUAUUUCCUUGUUUUCUUAUUGUUAUGAUGGUCCUAAGCCUUCGAUUUUCAGCUAAUUUCGUGGUCAAAUCAGGUUUUAGCCUAAUUGUCUUGUUAUUUUUCUGAAUUUCCAUCUUUCAGUGAUAAGUUAGUGAAAUAUGCUAUUUUGGUAAUUAUAAAAUCAUCUUUCAAUUAACGUAAAGAAAUUUCCAUUGCUUAUAUAACAAAGAAAUUCUUUAAUGAUGUGUGAUGUCUAUCAAGAAAGAUAUGGACGAAUAUCAUAUUAAUGCUCAUAAAUUAGAAUUUCUAAAUUCGUAUAAUACAUGGACAAAAACAAUAAUUUAACUGGAAGCCAAAAAUGGUCUUAAUUUAGAUCAUCGUUGGCUUGAAAAUUUUAAGGUUUGUUAUAUUUGUUUUUCAAUAUCAUGCUUUUAUUAAACAAAGAAUAUGUUACAUAGAAGGUCCACCAAUCCAAAAGCUCAAAAUUUUAUAAAAGUCCAAAGUUCAACUAUCAAUCAAGAAAACCUAGCAACAAACAUCAAAGCCACUGUUGUUGGAGAAGAAUGCUUGGGAAGGUCGGAAGUCACCAACAAAGACGGAUGUAUCUUUCAACGACAUGUGACGCCUCUAGAGAAAGGUCAUCAAGGAGUUGCAUCAAUAAAACGUUUCGUACCUUUUUUACUAUCUUAUAUAAUAGGGUAUUCUAGGGGACUUCAUCCAGGACUACCUCCUUCUAAAGCUUUUUUUAUAUUGAAGAGAAGUUUCCAAUAUAUGUAUAUAUGUGUGUGGGGAGGGGUCCAUUUAUACUAGUGUAAAACUUAAGUGAUUUUGCUUUUCCGUAACUUUUUACAUGAGUAAUAUUUUAACAAUUCAACCAUUAUAUUUCAUUAUCCAUUCAUAUAGAUAAUUCAUGUUAAGUUUGGCAUAAAUUAAAAAUGAGAUGAGAAAUUACCCCUGUACUUUACCAAAUCUUCCAAUAUGGUACAUACACUUUUGAUUUGUCCAAUUUGGUACAUGUACUUCAAUCUCCUUAAUCAUAGUGGUACUUGACCCUAACGCCAUUAAAAAAUGAUGAAAUGACAUGUUGACCAAUUAUGUGGUGCCACGUGGCUCAUGUUGACUCAUUGACUAAUAGUUCAAGUGCUUUUUUGCAAUAAAUCCUAAAAUUAUUCUCUUUCCCAAAUUAUAUUUUUCACAAUACUUUAUUUUUUUCACGUUUUUACUUGAAAACUUAAUGUUUUCUUUUCUUUUUUAUUUCUUUUGUUCCCUUCUUCUUCAACCCUAGUUGUUGCCACUGCUGCCCUCGGCCGCCUUCCAGCUCGAAAUGGCAUAGAGUGUUGCUCUUCGUUCUCUCUUUCAUUUUGUCCAAUUCGAAAAACUUUCCAAAAGUCAUGAAAUGCCUUUAAAUUUUUGGAUUUUUCUAAUCUCAAUCUAAAGAUCCAACCGUGUAACUUUGACCACGGUCUCUCCUUAGCAUGAGGAACCUUUUCAUCACUCAGAUCCUUCAAAUGAUACCCUAAAACUCGAGUUUGAAAGUGGGGGAGGGUUCACUUAAAAAAAGAAGAAGCCCUCCUCUCUUUCUAGUUCCAUCCAAUUGAAAUUCUAUGUUUAAGCUUCUUCAUUGAAUCUCCCAAACAAUUUUUGUAUCUUCAAUGAACUAAGUUUUUCAUUUUGUUCGUUUCUUUUUCUUUCUUUUUUUUACCUAAAAUUACAUCUACAGAAACAAAAAGAAAAAGAUAAACUUUUUUAUUUUUCAAUUUUCCUUUGAUUUUUAUUUUUGUUGUUUAUGUUAUAGUCUAAAUGAGAAUUAUGUUAUGUCUCAAAUUUUUAGAUAUUUGGGUGAGAUUUAUUUUAGUAAGAAUGAUCUGGAAAUAUCUAUCAUUAGUUUUUAAUUAUUCCUUUGUAGUAUCUUGUUUGAUUCUUGAGAAAAAUAUGGAAGUGAUAAAAAAUUAGCAGAUAAGAGGAAAAAUUGAAAAAUAAAACAAGGUAACAUUCAAAAAAAACGUGAAAGUAAUUUUUAAAAGUAAAAUAUAUUAAAACAUUUUUAUAUAAUUUUUGAUUUUGAAGAAAAAUAUACUUUUUAAUAUAAAAAUUUAAUUUUGAUAAAAAAAUAUUUCUAUCAACAAUAAAACAAAAUAGAAAAAUUGCCUACAAGGGUUUGAGCUAGAGGUCAAAGGUCAAUAAUCAUACAUGUAGUGCCCAUUGAUUGAUUAAUGUGUCACGUCAUCUAUUUUUCUAACAGUGUUAGGGUCAAGUGUAGAACAUCUAGGCCCACGACAUCACUAAACUAAAAUUUAGCUACACCUUCUAGCACUUUAAAAUAAGAAAAUAAAGGAGGAAUUUAAAAAACCAAAUAGAAGAUUGAAUAUUUGAUUUGAUGCAAUUAAUACUUAUAACAUAGGUGGUAAUCCUUGGUGAAAAUGAGACUGGAAGGGCAUUCUUAGCUAAGGGUGAUAAAUAACUCAAUCGAGGAUAAAUAAUUAUUUAAUUAGAUAGUUAGGGAUUUAAUCGAUCAUAAGUUAGAGACUCGCAUUGUCAAUACUAAGAAUAUGAAAUUCCAUUAGGUUAAUUUAGGUUUAUUUAAUUAAUUUAAUUAAUAUUUUAAUUUAGAUUAACACUACUAAUUUGUGACUCGAUUAUAUUAGUAAUUAUUUUCUGUAAUUAAUUUGAUAAUAAUUUCUCCAAUCUGCAAACCAUUGGGUACAAUCCUCGAAAUACUUACCGAUGUUUCGUUGUAAACCUUACUAUAAUACAAUUUAAUCCGUACGCUUGCGGAUACCGCCGAUUUAAUUUUAUAUAUUUUUGGUGUGAUAUUUUUACUAUAAACAAUAACACGUUUAUAGGUGGUCAUCGCAACACAACUCAUUGACUAGGUCUCGUCAUGGCGACAAGAGUCUGACGUCGCAACGUGACCAUCUGUUUGCAAAUGGCACCAAAUUGCACUUACCUAAACAACAAUUCAACUUUCCAAUAUACUUUUCCAACCAGACACAUUAAAGCCACUGUUGCUGGAGAAGAAUGCUUGGGAAGGUCAGAAGUCACUAGCAAAGACGGAUGUAUCUUUCAACGACAUGUGACGCCUCUAGAGAAAGGUCAUCAAGGACUUGCAUCAAUGAAACUUUUCGUACCUUUUUUACUAUCUUAUAUAAUAGGGUAUUCUAAGGGACUUCAUCAAGAACUACCUCCUUUUAAAGCUUUUUUUAUAUUGAAGAGAAGUUUCCAAUAUAUGUGUAUAUGUGUGUGGGGAGGGGUCCAUUUAUACUAAUGUAAAACUUAGGUGGUUUUAGUUUUCUUGUAACAUCCCGUCCGACGAAGCUCUAGUGUUCGAGUGUUGUUUAUAGAAGUAAGACAUAUAGAGUAAGUUUUGAGUGGGUAAGGUAUUAAGAUUGACUAAGUAUAUAAGUCUAUGGGUUCGCCUUCUGGCGAAGUCUAUUCUAGGCAAUUUUGCUAAGUCCUCAAUUUGUAUGAACUAUUUGCUUUAUUAUUAUUUUAUUAUCCUGGUUGAACAAUCUGGUUAGACGAACGAAAAUUUGGUUAGUAUAGGACUAAGUUUCUGCAACCGGUUAGAUCCACAUAUAUGAAGAGAGAGAAAGUGCUUAGUCACAAGGAACGAGGGGUUUGGAGGGAAACCAGACUUACUCACUAAGUUCUCCUUCCGUGUAUUUUGUAUAAAGCAAGCUUUGGCUUCCUGAGCAAGUUUUAUGCUUUCUUUGACAACUAUAUUUUCUUCUCAAACUUUAUCUGUAUUUUUCUCUUGAAAAACCCUAGACUUAAGACUUGUUUGAAGAUUUCUGGUUUGUUGUACUCAACCAACUCUAUCAUCGUUUAACACCUAGUAAAUAUUGAUAAAACUCAAGUUAUUUUCGUGGUUAUUUAUGGGUUUUAAGGUUUCAUGCUUUAAGGUCAGUUUAAAGUGUGAGGAAUAAAACUUCCAGAUUCUGGGUUUUCUGUUAAUGUUCUUGUAAACUUGUUUAGUUUUUUGGUAUAAUGAACUGAUAAGUUUAUGUAACACCCUACACUAGAAUUGAUCGCCUGAUCCACAAUAUAUAGUGAACAACCAUUAAACACAAAUACAUUUAAAUAACAUUUUCAAUAAAAGAACAAUUAUAAAUCUAUAAUAUCAAAUACAUUCAAAUUCAUGUUAUUUUAGCUUAACUUGACCUAAAUCGAGUUUUAGAAACAUUUAAAACAAACCGGGAGUAAAUUUGGGUUAAAAUGAAUCAAUUACAAAAUUUUGAUAAAAAUUACAAAAUAAGGGUCACAUGGCCGUGUAGCCAGACUGUGUAGCAUACUAACUUGUAAGACACGGCCGUGUGGGGAGACCGGGUGCAACACAUAGGUGUGUGACAGCCUGUGUCCUAGGCCGUGUGCCCCUAAAUGAACCUUCAAUUUCAAGUUUACCAAAACUAACUUACUUAGACUACAAGUAACUCAUUUACCAAUCAUUAAGCCUACUUAAAACAAACCUAAAUGAGCCCAAAACAGGUUAAAAUCAUCCAACCUAAGUGCCUAACCAAUGUGCCCUCAUUGACACCACAAAUAAAAUCAUUCAACCAAGUAACAUAACUAAGGAAGAAGCUUCAUCAAUAGGCAUCCAUUCAUGCCUAAACCAUCAAUCUAUAUGGCCAAAUAUGAACAUACUCUACAAGCUACCAUUUCAAAGCACCAUCACCAAAUAAAUGACAUUAAGGAUCAACUUAACCGCAACCAACACAAAUACAUAUCCAGAACCAACCACAUUAACUAAAUAUACCAAAAUAACUUAACAUUUUACAUAUCAACAACAUAACACCUAUAUACAUGCCACAUUCCAAAAUGAUAAACAAAAGCUACCGAGAAGGCUGAAUAGAGUGAGCUCCAAAUGGAUCCAUCCGGUUAGUUCGCAAGAUGGUAACUACAAAAGAAACACAACUAUUUAAUUUAACUAAUUCAAAACAACAUCAAAUGAGAUAUAAAUACAAAUUCAUUCGUUUAUACUAUGAACUUACCUACUAUCCUAUGACACCCCAAACCCGACCGGGAUGAACCAGCCCGAAUUCAAAGCAUUACAUUAGCCACCUAAGUGGCUCUCUGACUAACGACCACCCAAGACACACCUUGACCUUAUAACACCUCAAUCUUAUCUAAUUAUUAGUUAUUUAUUAAUGCAGAAGCAAAUUAUUAGCCAAUUUUAAACUUUUCCUAGGUAAUUUAACUUAAAGGCAUUUUCGUUAUUUUACUACCUAUAGUAAAACUAACCCGAUUUUAGAUCUAAAUGUUUACUGACUUUCUUUUAGUCAAAUUAUGCAAGCCUAAAAAUUUCAGUUUAAUUUGAGUUCGUUUACUAUGUCUAAUUUAAGUUUUAUUAUUAGGGACUAAAUUGUAACUUAAAAAAAUUAGAAUACCAAUUUAAAGAGAUAAAAAUUCAAACCCUAAAACCCACACGACCCUGUCUCGCAGACCAUGUGUCAUUAAAUGACCGUGUUCGCAUCGUGAAAAACUUUUAGACCGGUUGCACACGCUCGUGUGUGAUAGCUCCAGCUUCCACACGCCCGUGUGUAACCCCUCACACGCCCGUAUGAAAACCACUGCACCUAUUUUUGUAAAAAACUCAUUUUAAAACUCGAUUUUGCAUAUUUUAAGUCCAAUUAAACCCGAUUUAACUAUGAUUAAUUAACAUACAUAUACAUACACCUUCAAUUGAGUUUAUUGACAUCAAUUAAGCCUCAAUUAUAUAGAAUUAAGCAAUCAAUUUCAUGCAUAACAAACACUGAAUAAAUCAAACAAGUGGGGUACCUUUGUGGUUAGUAAACCACUCCAUGGAAGCUUCAUUUAAACAAUCGUUAGUACAAAUUUCAUGCCUCACACACCGUGUUAUCAAUCAUCAUGUUAUCAAGCAACAUACACCGUAAAUCAUUCAAUAAUUAAAUUUAAACAUGCCUCAAAAUUAUUAUAAACCAUCUAAAAUAAAAUGUCCAAUUUCCAAAGUCCAAUUACAAGCAAAAUUAAACUAAUUCCCGGGAGUUCCACAAUGCCUGAUUACAGUAUUUAAAAUGUGUAAUAAAGUCUUUACCAAUCCUAAAUCUCUUGGAACUCUCUUGCUCAGCUCCUCAAGCCCGACGAUUAUAUCCACAAAUUGUGAGGGUGUGAGAUUUAAAAAACUUAGUGAAUGUUAAUAAAAACGACUAGUAAAUCAACAUCCAAAUCAUGCUUAAAUCACAUCCAAUCAAUCACCAAUUAUCAGCCAUAAUAAUGAAACAUGUCAAUUUAAUUUCCAUAUGCUUUAUCAAUAUCAAGAAUCAAUUAUUCAUGGUUUACAAACAUCGAAUGAUAUAACAAUAAUCACACAUAAAUAUAUUGACAUACACUUCUCAUGGUUUAAUUGGGUGAUCAUACAUUGGAUAAACAGAUCUCUGAACUCCCACAAAUAUCAAAUACAGUCCACCGAGUUGAGCGGGUCGAAGCACACACUCCUUUAUAUCGCCUCAAAUAACCCAAUGAGUGGAGACUCAUGCUCAACACUCCCUUAUCUACUCCAAAAUGCUUAUGUGUAACAUGUAACAUAGCCAUUUAACAUCCAAUUAAAUCAAGCAUUUCAUUUUCCAUUUUUCAAUGUUCAAUUACCAAUUGUAACACCAAUAUAUCAUGAUCAAAAACUCCAGUAACCAUGCUCUAAUCAUCAAUAUAAUUAGCCUAAUUAAAUUGCACAAACUCACCUAAAUGCUUACUUACCAUUAUUCAAUAAAAAUUCAACUCUUGUAGAUAUAAUAUCAAUCUUGAAAAAUCAGCCAUUCAACCAUAAUUAAUCAAUUGAAAUCAUCAAUUAAGCUACUAAUUAAACAUAAACGAGGGUUAAUUUAACUAAUCGCCCUUAGAAACACUCACCACACAAUUUAUUCUACCAAAAACAAGUGAUUAACCAAGCAAACCCAAACUUCAAUUCUAGUUAGCUCGGUCCUCUUCAAGAUUCGAAGCUUCAACAGAGAUAAAGUAGACAUUACCACCUUUCUAACACUAUAAUAAACACAUAUUUUAAUUAACUAUACUAAUCGCAAUCCUCUCACAAAGAUACCUUAUUGGAUUUGUCACAUCAAGUCAGAAACUCGAUUCCUCACAAAAUCGAUCUCUCUAGCCCUCCUAAACACUUUCAAUCAUUAAUACUAGACCAAAUACGCUUAUACUAAGCAUCAUUUUAAUCUUUAAAUCAAUUUCACAAAAUUCUGAAAAAUCGUUUCGUGAAGAUGAUGAAAUUUGAAUUUCUUUAAAUUACCUCACAAAUCAUUUUUAAUCUUGAUAAAUAAGAUCAAAAACCUUUUAAUAGAUCCAUUUAGAGUUGGAACAUCCAUUGAUUUGUGAAUUUCCUCUCAAAAUUCAAGAUCCACUGUUAAAGAACCAUAUGUUUUUGGAAAAAGAUAACAUUGAUAAAAAUCCUUUAAUUGACUCUCAAAUCAUGUAAAAAUAUUUCUAAUCAUCAUCAAACCAAGUUUAGGAUUAAAGAUGAUCUUUGAUUCGCUCUAAAUUCGUUGAUUGAAAAUCUUGAUUCAAGAAACUUGAGAAAUUUUAGAAUAUUUUUGGCUACUUUUGUGAAUAAUUUCGGGUGAAUUGAGAGAGUAUUUUGAUAAGAAAAUUGGUUGGAUCUGUUCUUUGAUGAUAGAUCUUUAAAAACAUGCAAAGAAAAUGAAUUUUAAAGCUCUCUAAUCUGAUGUAAAAUGUGUGAAAAGUGGGCUAGAUACAUUAGUUUUAAAACUGGAACCACCCACCAGGAAUUUAAAAAUUGGGAAAUUUGCCUAAUGGCCACUCCCACAUUUCCCUUACUUUACCAUUUAAUCCUCCCUCGAAAAUUCUGAAUUUUAAGGUUUAUUUGCCAUAUAAAUACUUUAAAAUUUCCCCCUUUUACAAUUAAAUCCUAUUUAAUUAAUAUUUAAAUUUUACUCAAAUUACCCUCAAUAAAAAUUAUUUUAAAAUUAUUUUUCAACCCAAAUUAAUUGUUUUCACUAAUAAUUAUUUAAAAUUUUUAAAAUUAAUUUUUUGAAAAUAUUUUUAUAUAUUGUUUUUAAUUUUCUAGAUUAUUGUUUAAUCGAUUUUAGAUGAAAUUAACCUCUUAAAUUAAAUUAAAAAUUACUAGAAAUCUUACAAAUUCCUAGUUUCACACUCGGAACCCGAAAAAUACACCCGAAGCUACUAGACCUGGUUUAGAGAUAUUACAACUCCCCCUCUAAAAAUAAAAUUUAUCCUCAAAAUGUACUUGAAUCAAACAAAUAUGAAUAUUGACGUUUCAUCACAUAUUUUGACUCCUAGGUGGCUUCCUCAGUCUUGUGGUUACGCCACAAAAAUUUUACCAACGUAAUCGUCUUAUUGCGUAGCACCUUGACCUCUCGAUCUAGGAUCCCAAUCGGUUCCUCCUUGUACGAAAGAUUAGAUCAAACCUCGAUCUCCUCAAUAGGAACAACGUGAGAAGGAUCAGAUUUGUACUUCCGUAACAUGGAGACAUGGAAGACGUCAUGAAUACGCUCUAGCUCAGGCGGCAACAACAAACAACAGGCAACCAGUCCAAUCCGUUUGGCAACCUCAUAAGGGCCAAUGAACCUCGGACUGAGCUUACCCUUUCGCCCGAACCUCAGAACUUUCUUCCACGGUGAAAUAUUUAGCAAUACCUUAUCACCAAUCUGAUACUGGAUGUCUCGAUGGCUCAAGUCAGUGUAAGACUUCUGUCGAUUAGAAGCAGCCUUCAACCACUCGCAAACAAGUCUCGCCUUAUCUUCAACCUCCUGAACCAACUCCGGACCCAAGUUCCUCUCCUCCUCCAUAUCAAACCAACAUAGAGGAGUCCUACACCUCUAACCAUAGAAAGCCUCGAACGGUGCCAUCUGAAUACUCUUCUGAUAGCGAUUAUUAUACACAAAAUCGGCUAAUGACAAGUGACGAUCCUAGUUACCUCCAAAGUCGAUAACAUAACUACGAAGCAUGUCUUCAAGAAUUUGGAUCACCCUCUCUGACUGACCAUCAGACUGCGGAUGAUAACCUAAAAUGAAAUGAAACUUCGAACCCAAAGCCUCAUGCAAUGCCUUCCAGAAUCUCGAAGUAAAUCGCGGAUCUCAGUCUGUUAUGACUGAAACAAGAAUUCCAUGAAGACGAAAAAUCUCUCAGACUAAAAGUCGUACGGACUGGCAGAAAAUGUGUGGACUUCAUAAAUCUAUCCACAAUCACCCAGAUCGAAUCCUUACGAGUCAGAGUCAAAGGCAAACCCGAAAUGAAAUCCAUCGUAAUACGCUUACAUUUUCACUCCGAAAUCUGAAUAGGUUGAAGCAAACCCGUUGGACGCUAAUGUUCGAUUUUCACCCUCUGACAAACCAAACAUUAAAGUUUUACAUCUCUUAUGAUUUAAUCAUUUUUAAUGAAAUAACUAACCAAACAUUAAAAUUUCUUAACCAAAAUUUAAUACGAAUAUAAUAUAACUCCAUAAACGCUAAUUAAAUAAUAAAAUACGAACUCACUUGUCAGAAUUAUGGUAUCAAAACCACCAUUUUUGACACCACUAAAAAACGAGAUAUUACAACUCUUCCCCUUAAAGAAAUUUUCGUCCUCGAAAAUCUUACCAGAGAAAAGGUUCGAAUAUUGGGAUUUUAUGGUUUCUUCUGUUUCUCACAUAGCUUCUUCUACCUUGUGUCGAAGCCAUAAGACUUUAACUACUCGUACAGAUUUAUUUCUCAACUCUUUUACUUCCUGAGCUAAGAUUUUUAUAAACUCUUCUUCAUAAGUCAGAUCUGGUUGUAUUUCAAUUUAAUCUAUAGUCAAAGUUUUGGAGGUAUUGCCAAACGAUAAGUCACCGGUCCAAUUCUUUCUAAUACUUUGUACGGUCCAAUGAACCUGGGACGAAGUUUCCCUUUCCUGCCAAACCGUAACACUUUCAUCCACGAUGAGACUUUCAAGAAUACUUUUUCACCAACGAAAAACUCAAUAUCUUUGCAUUUUAAAUCAACAUAGGAUUUUUGAAUAUUAGACGCAACUUUCAAAUUGUCACGAAUGAUUCUAACUUUAUCUCUAGCUUCUCAAACCAAAUUAACCCCAACUAGCUUCCUUUUAUUUAAUUUAGACCAGAACAAUAAACUUCUACAUUUCCGACCAUAUAAAGCCUCAUACGAUGCUAUUUUUAUGCUUGAUUGAUAACUAUUAUUAUAGGCAAAUACAACUAACAGAAAAUACUACUCCCAACUACCUUUGUAUUCAAUAAUACAACAUCGUAACAUAUCUUUUAAAAUCUGUCUUACUCGGUCAGCCUGACCAUUUGUUUGCGGAUGAAAAGUAGUACUAAAAUUCAAAUUGGAACCCAAAGCUUCAUGCAAAUUACCCUAAAAUCUAGAAGUGAAUCUCGGAUCACGAUAUAAUAUUAUCGACAGAGGAAGUCCGUGCAAUCUUACAAUUUCUGCAACAUAUAACUUUGCCAACUUCUCAAGUGAGUAGUUAGAUCCAACGGGUACAAAAUGAGUUGAUUUUGUCAACCUGUCAACUAUAACCCAAAUUGUAUCUUUUCUGCUUGGAGUUAGCAGUAACCUUGAAACAAAAUCCAUAGUGAUUCUGUAACACCCCUAACCCGUAUCUGUCGCCAAAAAAGGGUUAUGAGGCAUUGCAGAACAUAACACGGUUCAAUACAAAUUUGGCUCAAUAACGGACGCAAGGUGAACUUUCUUCAACCGAUUAAAAUAAAUAAAAAUUUAGAGAAAGUUUCAAACUUAACCUGAACAACAAUAUCAAUUAUAAAAAAUCAUGUUAUGCUCUCAUAUUCGAUAUUCAAUUUAAUCUUGUAGCAAGCCAAAAACCAAUCGAGAAAGAAACAUAUCAAUUUAACCAAACUAACCAACGUUAAUAUCUUAGCAUUCGGAUAACUAUAAAGAAAGAAAGAAAAUAUUAUGUCAUUCAAAACAACAAUUACAUUGAACCAAUUCGAAUAGUAAUAAAACAUAUGAUUAAGGUAUUUUAAUUUCUAAGGUCAAUUUGACAAGUCCAUCAUCAACUGGUUAGAUCAGUCCGUAAUUUACAAUAGCAAAAAUCAUGAAAUUCAACUUACAAUUUAUCUUUGAUUUGUCUAAAUUUAUUGGACAACAAAGUACAACAUUAACAUACAGUAUUUAAUCAAUAAUAACAUGAAACGUAAUCAAUAAGUCCAGAUUUGUACAGCAUGAACACAUUAACAAUACAACAUAGAUAAGGCACUUAAACAACAUAAAUGACAACACAUUAGAUUAAAUUCAGACACAAUUACUCAGCUUAGAUUUAGGUAAUUUGGACACAAUAAACUCAAACCAUCAUACACCAUUACUUGUAACAUUUAAACCUCAUAAACUCUUUAAAUUUUCACAUAUAAAUAUUUUAAAUGACAUUUUCGAACAACAGCCUUUUUAUUUACUUAGACAACAUUAUUUACAUUCAAUUAACUUAUUAAUGCAGCACAUAUUAAUUUCCAAUUACAUUCUUCAGCAACUUAGUUUGGCUUCAAUUCAAACAUCAUUAAUUCACAAAUAUCUGAACAGCAGUAACAACAUUCAGACAUCAUUGAUUUGUACAAAAAUAGACAGCAUUUAAACAACAUUCAGACAGCAUAAUAUGCUAAAAAAUGGACAGCAUUUAAACAUCAUUCGGACAACAUAAUAUCCUCAAAAAUGGACAGCAUUUAAACAACAUUCGGACAGCAUAAUAUCCUAAAAAAUGGACAUCAUUUAAACAUCAUUCGAAUAACAUAAUAUGCUCAAAAAUGGACAGCAUAAUAUCCUAAAAAAUGGACAGCUUAAACAACAUUCAGACAACAUAAUAUCCUCAAAAAUGGACAUCAUUUAAACAUCAUUCGGACAACAUAAUAUGCCAAAAAAUGGAUAGCAUUUUGUUAUCACGCAUACUAAAUUUCCACCAUCCAACACACAAGAUAUACCAUAUAAUAUACUUCCAAAAAGAGCUAAUUACAUGGCCUAAUAUACAUAAACAAUAGCAUCAUUAUCAAGCCAUUUUCGCAUGGCUAAAUAUAUAUACACUUCAUGACCAAACAAAACAAAUACUAGCUUAUACAUGCCAUAUAUUCAAAUUUCGAGCUUUCAAAAUACCGAGAUAGAGAUUGAUAGUGUGACAGACUUCCUUGAUGACCCCCGAGCUCGUACUAACCUCCAAAAUCUAUAAAACAACGAAUACACAUACAAGUAAGCUUGGAAAGCUUAGUAAGUCAUAAGUAAUUAAAUUAUCAAAUGAACAUUAGUAUGAUUAUUUCAAGUAGGCCGAAUACUCCCAAUCUCAAAUACAUGUUUUUAUAACCACAUUUAAACAAUUAGUUCUCAAUAUCAUAUUACGCAACAACACCUACCUUUAUUAUCAAACUUUAUAUAAACUUAAACAUACCUGAAUCGUUUAAUUCAAACUCACAUUCGGUUUUACCGUACCAUUUCUCGUUGAACCAUUCGGAAUCAAAUAGGAUACUCAGGUAACUCGAAAAGCUUGUACAAUGCCAACGUCCCAGACGUGGUCUUACAUGUAAUCAAAUAUCAAAUGCCAUUGUCCCAGACAGGGUCUUACACAAAAUCAUAUACGAUGCCAAUGUCCCAGACAUGGUCUUACACGUAAAUCUCAAAUCGAUGCCAACGUCCCAGACGUGGUCAUGACAUAUGUAUCCUAAUUAUUCCUAUGGUUUGUACGGGGCUUUCAAACGUCGUAAUUCGAUUGAAUCGAGCUCGUAAUUAAUUCUUCCAUGCUUAUAUCAAAUUCGGCAUUUACCCAAGUAUAAUUAAUAAUUCAAUUCAACACUUAUAAAUCAUAUACAUUCGAAAUUAACGACAUUUAUUUACUUAUGAACUUACCUCGGACAAAGACGAACUGACCAAGACAACUAUUCGACAACUUUUGAUUUCCCUCGAUCCAAAUCUGAUUUCUUCUUUUCUUGAUCUAAUUUAAUACAAAUUUAACUUAUUUAAUAACAUAUUCACUCAAAUUUAUUCCAAAACCACAUAAAUGGGCAAAUUGCAUUUUAGCCCCUAACAUUUCACAUUUUUAACAAUUUAGUCCCUAUUUCACAAAACAAAAAAUACACAUAAUUUAAAAAAUAUCUAGCUUGGCCGAAUAUUCCUGUAGCUCAUAUAAGUCCACACAUUUCAUUUAUUCCAAAUUUUAGCCCCUCAAUUUUUUUUAUUUUCACAAAUAAAUCCCUAAUUUAGAUUUUUAUUAAAAAUUACUUAACAAAAUUUAAUAAUCUAUUAACAAAUAUUUAUUUUUCAUCAUCAACAACAAUUUCAUCACAUUAUCAACAAUGACACUUCUCAAAAUCAUAAUCAAUUUCAAAAUUAACACAUGGGCUAGGUAAUAUACAAAGAAACGAUCUCAAAAACAUAAAAAUGAUCAAAAAAUCAAAGAAAGAACAUACCUAAUUUUAAUCUUCUAAUUGUCGAAAAUACAAAGCUCCAAAUUCUCUUUUCUUUCUCAAGUUUCGGCAAAAUAAAUCCAUUUGCAUGGCUAUAUUAUGUUUUAUUUAUUUUAAUUAUAAGUUAUUAUGCUCUUUUCCAUUUUACCCUUAAUGCAUUAUCAUUAAAUUCCACCUAACCUUGUCCAAUAUUGUCCACCACUAUUAUUAAUGGUAUAAUUGACAUGCAAGUGCUCCACAUUUCCAUUUUACAUCAAUUUGAUGCCUUCAACGAAAAGACCUCAAAUUUUUCACUUUACGCGAUUAAGUCUUUUUUAUCAAAUUGAGCACACAAACGAUAAAAGUUUUACACGAAAUUUUCACACAUAUUAAUUCACAUACUGUAAACACCAAAAGAAAUUUUAAAAUAUUUUUCUAACUCAGAUUCAUGGUCCCGAAACCACUGUCUGACUAGGGUCUAAACCGGGCUGUUAUAGAUUCGCUCCUAUUUCCACUCGGGAAUCAUUAUAGGUUGUAACAAACCUGGCAAAACCUGAUGUUUUGCUUUCACCUACUGACAAGUGAAACAUCUAGCUACAAACUCUAAAAUCUCUUGUUUCAUACCAAACCACCAAUAAUGUUUCUUUAGAUUAUUAUACAUUUUGUUACUCCCAGGAUGUUUUGAAUAAACACUACUGUAAGCUUCAUUCAAUGAUCUGUCGUAAUUUGGUGUAGCAGAUUAAACUAGUUUUCGUACUUUAGGAGCUUGAAAAUAAGCAUUAUUAUUAGGUUUUAAUUAUUAUUAGGAUUUUAGCAUUAACUUGUUUAUCUAUACACACAAAAAAAGAAACUGAAAUAACAAUCGCAAUGCCUUAUAUUAACAAAUAAGGUAAAACAAGUAUGUGAUUACAAUCAUCUCAUGAUUGGUCUUUUGGCAUACUCUAACAAUCUUCCACUAGCACUAAAACUAAUCAAUCAUAUAUCUAAUACCAAGUGACUUAGUAUGACGAUCAUGCUUCUGCUAUGCCAAAGGCUUCAUUAGUGGAUCAGCGAUGUUGUCAUCUGUUGGUACUCUACGUAUUUCCACAUCUCCUCAAUCAAUGAUUUCUCAAAUGAUAUGAAAGUGCCUAAGAAUACGUUUGGAUCACUGGUGAGAUUUGGGUUCCUUUGCCUGUGCAAUAGCUCUGUUGUUGUCACAACAAAGUUCCAUAGCAUUUGAUAUGCUAGACACAACCCCUAGUUCAAAUAUGAACUUCUUGAUCCAAACAGCCUCUUUUGUAGCCUCAUUAGCUUCAAUGUACUCAGUUAUAAUUGUAGAAUCACUACUGUAUCUAGCUUUGAACUUUUCCAGCUCACAGCUCCACCAUUAAGGCAAAAUACAAAACCUGAUUGUGAUCGUGAAUCAUACUUGUCAAUUUGGAAGCUAGCAUCAGUUUAACCUUUUACAUUCAGCUCUUCCUCGCCACUAUAUAUAAGAAAUGUAUCCUUACACAAAACCCAGAUGUACCAUUAAAACAUAUGAUACAUUUGGGAGAGGACAUAAAAUGACAUACAUGAUAAAUCCAAUAGGUGAAGCAUAUGGAAUCUUACUCAUACGUUCUCUCUCUUGUGAAGUUGAAGGACACAUUUCCUUCGAUAGUGAAAUACCAUGUCUCUUAUGUAGGAAUCCUCUAUUAGAUUCUUCCAUGAUGAACCUUUUCAGUACUUUAUCUAUUUAUGUAGUUUGGCUUAGACCUAGGAGUCAUAUUAAUCUAUCUUUAUAGAUUUUGACUCCUAAUAUAUAUGUAGCCUCGCCUAAGUCCUUCAUAGAAAAACAGCUUCCUAACCAAGUCUUAAGAGACUGUAGGGUAGAUAUGUCAUUUCCUAUUAUAAGUAUGUCAUCUACAUACAGUACCAAGAAUACAAUAGUGCUCUCACUAAUUUUCUUGUAAACACAAGGCUUAUCUUCAUUUUUGAUAAAACCAAACUCUUCGAUUGCAUAGUUAAAAUGAAGAUUCCAACUUCGAGAAGCUUGCUUCAAUCCACAUGUAACACCCUUAACUCAUCUCUGUCGCUGGAUCAAGGGUACAGAGUAUUACGUUACGUAUAAAAAUAAUUAACAUUAAUAAAUCAUUCAAAUCUGGAAUUCAAUCAUAGCAUAAAAACAUUUAUGAAGCUUAAAUCGAGCUCACAAGGUAUUAAAAAUAGUUUGGAGUCAAUCAAAGACUUAUUUAAAACAAAUAAAAUUUUUUUAGGAAAAACUAAAAAUUUUGAAAACAAGGGUCACACGACUGUGUGAUAGAGCCCAGACGAUGUGGCUCAGAAACAUGGUCGUGUGGCCAAACUAUGUACAAUUUGAAAUAUAGGUCACAAGGAUGUGUUUCGGCUUGUGUGAGUAUUCGAAAUAUGGUCACAUGGCAGUGUGCCAAGCCAUGUCAAACCUGCUUCUAAAUUCAAAAUGACACACGACCGUGUGGUGUGACCGUGUGAGGCACACGCCGUGUGACAACCCGUAUCUUAGGCCAUGUACACCUAAAAUGACUUCCAAAAGAAGGUCCAUUUCUUAGGUGCCAAUCCAAACCAAUUUCAACCAUUUAUAUACCUUCAAAACACAUUCAAAUAAGCUUAAAACAUACCAAAACAUUCAACCUAACUGCCUAACCAAUGUACCCUCAUAGGUACUACAAAUUAAUCAUCCAACAAGUCACACACAUAUUAACUAUCAAGUUAAUACCUUAAAGAUAUACUUCACUUACCAAAUCAUUCAUUUCAUCACAUUCAUUUUACCAUGUUUCAAGUUAAUUUCAUAAGGCCUAAACCAAAUAACCAAAAGCAUUUAUAAUCACAACCUUAAGCCAAAUAUAUCAAAUAUAUUUAUAAAACCACAAACACUUCCCAAAACCAAAAUCCUAACGUUAUCAACAUGACCAAAAUAGCCAAAAGACUCUUAGUACAUGCCAUUUAUAACCCAACUUCAAAUUGAUCAAAACUUCUAUCGAUUUAGGAAUGGAUAGUGUGUAUGCUCUAACUUGAAAUUCCAACCAAUCGAGAUUUCUGAUGAUCUACAAUGAAAGAAAACAAUGGAAGUAAGCAAAUCAAUGCUUAGUAAGCUCGUAUAUAACAAAAAUUAAACUUACCAAAUUUGAAUUAUUUUGUACAUUUCAUGCAUAAUUUUAUUAACAAGUUUAUGAAUUCGUUCAAUUCCAAUACCCACAAGAAAUCUCACAAGUUAGUGAGUUCACAUAUAUACAUAAAACUUGAGCAUACAAGAACAAAAAAUUCAAAUAACAUAUUUACCAAUCACUUCAUCCAACUUAAUCUAUAAUAUGUGACACAUUCCAUUCAAAGUUUGAUACCAUAUAUCCAUUUCAUAAUUGCUCCUUACAUAAAUAAAUUUACAUAUAGCCAUUUCAAGUAUUGACAUUAUCACAACAUGAUUCAGAAAUUCCAAGUCAGUAAUCAUUUAAACAUAAGAAUAUUGAGAAUUUAUAAUUUGUUUAUUUCAAUGAAAUAGUUCCGUAUCUAAUAACCUUUAUUCUUCCGAUGGAUCUUUGUAAAAGUAUUGAAUACACAAGUCCAAGAACAGAUAAUGCUCGUAAGAGCUAAUCAGAUAUAAAACAAAUGUGUUAGGUUACCCGUCCGGGAUGAACCAAUGACAACAUAGAAAAAUAGCCUGGUCAGGGCUAUGUAUACUUGUAAGGUUACAAGUCAAGGCUAAACCUUUAAAACGACAACGGAUUACCGGUUCAGGCUAAAUCUGAUUCACAUGUAUAUCGCAGUUCGCAACACGUGCUGAAGCUCGGUCUAGAACAGAGAUUCAGAUGGAAAUCUUAUGUAUGAAACUUUUACUAGAUCCAUCGAAAUCAUUUUAGAAAUUCAUUAUAUUUCACAUUGAUGAAUUUCAUUUCAAAAAUAUCAACACAAAUAUAUAUGUAUCAUAAAAAAAUAAUGAAUUAUAAAAAAAAUAAUAAUAUGAACUUACUUAGACAAAAACAGUUGCGAAACAAGGCUGACGACUAAUACGUUAAUUUAGCUUUUCCACAAUUCAAGUUCGAUUGUAUCGUUUCUUGAUCUAAAUAAUAAUUUCAUUCAAUUAAUACAAUUUUGAGACUUAAAUAAGCAUUUUUAUACAAUUAAGUCCUUCCAUCAUCAUUUAACAAAAUUGCCCCAACAUUUUUCCUUUUAUGCAAUUUAGUCCCUAGACUCAUAACUUACAAAUUUACCAUUUUUAGUUACCAAACAUGGUAGCCAAAUUUUUUAGGCUUUCUAACCUGUCCAUUUUUAUCAAAAUUUCACUAAAAUUUCAUGAGGUUUUACUAUUUUAAAAUUUUAAUCUUUAAACAUUAAAAUUACUAAAAAUCACUUUACAAAAUAGUCCUAUUUAGUUAUCAAACUUAUACAUCUACCACCAAACUUCAAAAAUAUCUCAAACUUAACAAUGGCCUAAUUUUAAACAUUUAACAGUUUUACAAAUUAAUCCUUGGGUUAGUUAGAUUAAGCUAAAGCAAACUCAAUAACAUAAAAUAUACAAGAAAUAGACUCAAAAAAGAAUUACAUGCAAAGGAACAUCCAUGGCCAAACCUCGCAACUUGUUUAUCCUUGGCUUUUCGAUGGAGAAAAUAAAAGUGAAGAAGAUGAUGUUUUUUUAUGUUUCUUUUAUUAUUAUUACUUUUAUUAAUUUAACAUAUUUUAUCAAAUAAACCUAAUUUAAUAAAUAAUUUAUUUAAAAACCUCAUAUAUACCGUCCACCACAACUUAAUUAUGGUUAAAUUAUCAUAUAAAACCCUUUAAAACCAUCUCUAUGCUCAUUUAACCAAAUUUAAUCAAUAGCGAUUAAGUUUUAUUAUUGGUACAAUUUAACCGCUUUUAAUUAAUUAAAUAAUCAAACAAUGGAAUUUUUGAACCAAAUCUUCACAUACCAAAAUAGUAACUCCAUAAAUAUUAUUAAAUAUUUACAAGCUCUAUUUAUAGAAAUGAGGUCUCGAUACCUCAUUUUCUGAAACCACUUUACUUUCGGGACAACCACAUAAACUUAACCAUUUAUUCAAUUAGCUAAAAUUCAUCAAGUGAAAAUUAAAUAUAAAAUUAUUGUUGACUCAUAUAAUUUAAAUACUAAUUAUUACGAAAUUUUUAGUUAGAUUUGUGGCCCCAAAACACCGUUUUUGACACCACUAAAAAAUGGGCCGUUACACCAUAAAUGGUCUUUAUAGCUUGCAUAUCUUACCAGAACCUUUUGGAUUGAUAAAACCUUCAAGUUGUGUUAUGUACAUGUCCUCUUCUAGUUUUCCAUUAAGGAAAGCUAUUUUGACAUCCAUAUGCUAGAUUUCAUAAUCAUGAAAUGUAGCUAUUGCAAGUAAGAUCCAGAUGGAUUUAAACAUAGCAACAAGAGAAAAGGUUUUGUCGUAGUCUACACCAUGAACUUGUUAAAAACCUUUAGUGACUAUUCGCCCUUUGUAUGUUUGUGCAUUACCAUCCAUGUCAAUUUUCUUUAGUGACUAUUCGCCCUUUAGCGACUAUCCACUUGCACCUUAUGGGUUUAACCCCUUCAGAUAGGACAACCAAGAUUCAUACUUGGUUUUCAGAAAUGGAAUUCAUCUUAGGCCUGAUGGCCUCAAGCCAUUUCUCAGAAUCUGGGCUCUCCACCACUUUUUGAUAAGUCUUAGGCUUAUAUUGAUCCAUAAGUAGAAUAUCACCAUGUGUUAUAAUGAGAAAUCCAUAUCUCUCAGGUACAUGGUGUUCUUUUAAGAUCUUCGCGGUAAUUGUGUUUCCAAAACAAUUGAUUGUUUCGUAAAACAUUGUGGAUAUUGUUGUUGUUCAAUCUCUAGUUCAUUGAUCUGUUGUUGUUCUCAAAUUUCUCGAGUUCAAUUCUUCUACCAAUUUCUUUUCUAGAGAUAAAAUUUCUUUCAAGGAGGACUUCUGUCUGAGCAACAAACACUUUGUUCUCGGUAGGAUUGAAGAAAUAAUAUCCUUUAGUUCCCUUAGGAUAUCCUACAAAGAUGCAUUUUUGAGAUUUGGGUUUGAGCUUAGUAGACGUCUAACGUUUAACCUAUGCUUCACAACCCCAAGUCUUCAUGAGAUACAUACUAGGACGCUUUCCAAUCCACAUAUCAUAUGGUGUCUUUUGAACCAAUUUAGAUAGAACACAAUUUAGUUUGAAAGCAGCUACUUCAAGUGCAUUUCCCCAAAAGAAUUAGGAAGAUCAACAUGACUCAUCAUUGAUCGAACCAUGUCUAAUAAUAUUUGAUUUCUUCUUUCAGAAACUCCAUUCCAUUGUGGAGUACCAGGAGGUGUAAGUUGUGAGACAAUCCUACGUUCCUUCAAAAACUCAUCAAACUAUAAGCUUAAGUAUUCUCCUCCUUGAUCUGAUCGAAAUGCCUUAAUACUUUCCCCUGGUUGGUUUUGUAUUUCAUUUUUAAAUUCAUUGAACUUUUCAAAGGCUUUAGAUUUAUGGAGCAUAAGAUAAAUAUACACAUAUCUACUAAAGUCUUCAAUGAAAGUAAUGAAGUAUUGAAAUCCUCCUUUGGCUUAUGUGUUCAUUGGUCCACAUACAUUACUAUGUAUUAAGCCAAAUAAAUCACUAGUUCACUCACUUUUACUAUUAAAAGGAAUUUUAAUCAUAUUACCCAACAAGCAAGACUCACAUAUAUCAAAUUGUUUGAAAACAAAAGAAUCCAAAAUUCCAUCUUUAUGGAGCUUUAGUAUGCACUUCUCAGUUAUAUGACCCAAUUGACAAUGCCAAAUAUAAGUUUGAUUAGAGUAAUUUAUUUUUGACCUUUUAGUAUUUAUGUUAUAAAUGGGUCUAUCUUGAUCAACCCAUUUACUAAUUGUGUCGAACCAUAAAAAAUAUUAUCGAGAUAAAAUGACCAACAAUUAUUCUUAAUAAUUAUCUCAGAACCAUUUUUGUCUAAACAAGAAAUUGAAAUAAUGUUUCUAGUUAAACUUGGCACAAAAUAACAAUCCUCCAAAAUUAAAUCAAGUUCACUAGGCAAUGAUUAAAUAUGUGUUCCUACAGCUAAUGCAACAACUCUUGCUCCAUUUCCAACUCGCAGGUCCAUUUAUCCUUUAGCCAAAUUCCUACUACUUUACAGUCCCUGUACAAAGGUAAAAAUAUGAGAACCACAAUUGGCAUCUAAUACCCAAGAAGUAGAUGUUGAUAAAUUAAUAUCAAUAGCAUAAAUACCUGAAGUGGAUGCUCCGCUUUCCUUUGCCUUCUUGACCUCUUCAAGAUAGGCAGAAUAGUUCCUCUUCCAGUGUUCGGUCUGACCAUAAUGGAAAUAUUUUCCCUCCUUAGCAAUUCCUCCUUUAGUUUUCAAUGCAAUCUUUCCUUUGUUAGGUUUGGCCUUGCCAUUGUCCUUAGGUUUUGCCUUAUCAUCAAGCUUUCCUUUGACCUUGUCUUUGCGGACCAUCAUAAUGAGCUUAGGUCCAACCUUUUUCAUGUUACUUUUAGUAGUUUGUAACAUGCUAGGUAACUGUGGCAAAUUCUUAUUAAUCUAUUUCAUUUUGAAAUUAAGGAUAAACUGGCUAAAACUAUCCGGCAACAAUUGCAAGAUGACAUCGGUGGCCAACUCCACACCUAGUUUUUAAAGGCUUUCAAUAUAGCUUAUCAUCUUGAGAAUGUGAGUUCCCACAGGAGGUGUCUCUACCAUUUUGCAUCAAAAUAAAGCUUUAGAGGUUUCGUACCUCUCUUGACAUGCUUGCCCCUCAUAUAAUUCCUUAAGGUGCUGGAUCAUGUCAUAGGCAAUCAUAUCCUCAUGUUUUUUCUAAAGUUCAAGAGUCAUGGUGGCAAGAAAUAGACAUCCUAUGUCUAACAUGUCAUCAAGAUGAUUCUUAUAUGCAUCCUUGUCAGCUUUAGAGGCACUGCCUGCUAGUUCUUUAGGAAUGAGUUUUUCAAUGACAUAUAAUUUCUGUUCUUGUUUGAGGACAAUCCUUAAGUUACGAAACAAGUCAAGAAAGUUCAAGCCAUUCAUCUUGUCCUUCUUGAUAACUCUUGAAAAUAGUUAACUGCUAGUACUUAAGUAAAAUUAGUUUUAUUUUAGGUAAUUGCAUGAUUAUUUUUAGUUAAUCGAGCAUUGUAUUGAAAAACUUGGGAUGAUGAUUACUUUAGUGCAUCUGUACUUUUAAUUGUUGGUGGAAAGGCUUUGUGGUGCUUGACUGAUAGGUUUGAGGAAGAAAGAUAUCAAAAGAUGGAGAUUUGCUGAGGCAUUAUGAGAGAUUGUCAUGGCAAUGCUGAGGAAGAAAACGAUAAAGAACCAGUCAAUAUUUAGAGCAUUUAGCAAUUGGGCCCCCAUAUGCACAUGUAAUGGAAAAUUUUCACAUCAAAAUUAGGGAAAAAGAAAUCAUUGAAUGACGAUUUUUACCCUAGAAGAUGACCUAAGUAUAAAAUAAAAAGGGGGAUUAAAGACCAAAAAGAGAGGUCUGCCAUUAAUGAGGGCUAAAGGUACGAAUGAUUGCAAAUACGGAGCUUCGGUAAAGGUCUCUUUGUGACAAGGAGGGUAAUUUCAGCUACUUUGAGCUAGGGUGGAGACGAGCACCAGAUGCCAAGUUAGGGGAAUUCGCGUUCUGAACCUAGAUUUCUUCCUCUACAAUUUACUCUAAAUUUGCUGAUUUAAAUUUUUAUUUUGAGAUGUUGAUGAUAUUAAAAUACUUGAAUUUGCGUAGACCACUCAUGGAAUAACUUAGCAUAGCUGUGGAUUACUUUUUAUGAUGUUUCAACUUUGAUGUAUGUUUGUGGAUGAAAAUGAUUUAGUUUAAUGCUUUACCCAAUGUUUAUUUCUAUUUAUAUGUUUAUUAGGGCAUUGAUAAAAGCUUGGUAAGUCUGAAAGUAGCUUAAUAUCGACAGAGUUAGGUUGGUUGGACGAAAAUUGGGUAAUAUAAAAGAACAUUGAAUGAAAUGCUCGUGUAAACUUUAGACAUAGAUGUUUACCUUAUACGACUUAGAGAAUUGUGCUUUAGUCAUGGUUGCUAAUUCUUAGCCCAUAGAUGUAUAGUGUCUUAGGAUUGGGCAAUUGAGCAAUUGGUUACCAUAUUUUUGCUAAUUCUUUCUUUCAGCAGAGGUAAACCACGUUAGUACCCAAUCGAGCAAUAGGUUACCAUAUUUUUGCCAUGGCAUUGUUCCUCAGUUAUAUCUAAUUCAUUAGUAAUCCCAAACUUUUCAAUCAAUAUUCAAAUCUUGCUAGAAUCCUUAGUGCUUUUAUUCGAUUUGUUGCAAGUAUAAUCUACAAUAGUACAUUUUAUUUCUGUCAUUUUUAGUGUAUUAAUUGCAUUGUUAUUUCUUAAAAUAUCAUUUGAUUCAUUUAUCUUUUCUACUCAGUUGUGAUAACUUAGACAAAGAAUACUAAUAAAAUCCUCGUGGAAAUGAUACUCACUCAUCACUUUAUUACUUGAUUUGAUGUGUAUACUUGCACAAUUCACACAUCAUAUUAACACGCGACAAGUUUUUGGCUCUAUUACCGAGGAUUGGCGAUUAGCAACUUUAGUUUUUGUUAAUGUAGUUUUUAUAUUUUUAGUUGUUAACUUGUUUAUUUUGUUAUCACAAUAGUUUUGCUACUAGUUGUAUGCGUAAAGGCCUUCCUAUUGAAGAACUCUAUCCCUUAGGUCUAAAAAUUGAAAGGACCUUGUAAAGAAGGAGAAGAUAACAAAGAGCAAUGAAUGAAUGUGGUAACAAUCAGCCUGGUUUGAAUGAGCUACUUAAUCCAGGAGACGACAAUGGUUUUCCUUGAUUGCUUAGAUGUUUAAUGAUCGGGAUAGGCCAAUUUGAGAGCAUGUGGUUUGUAUCUUAGACGACCUGAAUCCUAGAAUAGUCAGACAACAAAUUUAAGCCCCCACUUUGAGCCGAAACCUUUAAUGUUUCAGAUGGUUCAAUCAAUUGGUAAGUUUGGUGGUUUGGCAAUUGAAGAUCUUAGAUUGCACUUGAGACUUUUCUUGAAGGUCUUUGAUUCUUUCAGACAGUAAGGUAUCCUUGAAGAUACAUUAAAACUCAAGCUAUUUCCCUAUUCUUUAAGAAAUCAUGCUAGAACAUGGCUCAAUUCGUUGCCACCUGGAAUAGUAGAAUAACAGAAUGAUCUUUGUCAAACAUUCCUACUACGAUAUAACCCACCCAAUAUGAAUGCUAAACUAAGAAAUGAAAUAACAUCCUUUAGGAAACUAGAGGAUGAAACACUGUAUGAAGCGUAGGAAAGGUUCAAAGAUCUACUUAGAAAAUGUCCUAUGCAUGGAUUUCAACAUUGGACCCAAAUAGAGAUGUUCUAUAAUGGUUUGAAUGCUCAAACAUGGAUGGUGGUUAACGCCUCAGCUAAUGGAACUCUGUUGGACAAGUCCCACAAUGAAGCAUACGAGAUUUUGGAGAGAAUUUCCAAUAACGAUUAUCAAUACCGCACAACAAGAGUUGGAACUGGUAGGAGAGUAGCUGGAUCAUAUGAACUGGAUGUGAUUUCAAUGCUUACUGCUCAGGUAUCUUCUUUAGUCAACAUGAUAAAGACCAUGUAGAAGCCUAGUGCGGUGAAAGAGCUGAAAGUAGCUGGGUUAUCUUGUGUUUACUAUGGUGAGGAUCACGUGUGUGAAGAGUGUCCUUCGAACUCAACAUCUAUCUACUAUAUGGGCAACUUCAAUACGAACAAAACCCCUUAUUCCAACAUGUAUAACCCUGGUUGGAAGCAACACCUAAAUUUUAUUUAGAAUAAUCAAGGAGCUGGAAAUUCCAACACAAUAUCAGACCCAAUAUCAUGAAUGUCUCACCUGGUUUCCAUUAGUCUAUACCACCUCAACAAUGAGUUCAACAAGGGUAGACAUCAUCUUCUUUCUCAUCUAUUGAAUCUCUAUUGAAGGAGUAUAUUGCUAAGAACGAUGUUGUGAUCUAGAGCCAAGCGUCAUCUUUGUGAACUUUAGAGAACCAAGCAGGACAGAUAACUAGUGCUUUGAACUCAAGAAUACAAGGAACUUUUCCUAGUGAUAUUGAGAAUGCAAGGCCACAUGGGAAAAAAUAUUGUAAAGCAAUCACUUUUAGAAGUGAUACACAACUAGAUAGAUUUGAAAAAAGUGUUAUUGCUGAAACAACGAAUUCAGAAUCUGAUCAAAACAAAACUCGUGAAUAACACAAGAAGAGCACCACAAAUGAAAAAACCAGGCCAAGCGAUGCUAAAGAAAACUCAAAUAGAACUGCUGAACACAAUGCUCGAGCAAAACAAUCACUACGACUUGAAGUUCACCCACCCCCAACAUUUCCCCAACGAUUUCAGAAUCACUAACAAGACUAACAAUUCAGGCGAUUCUUGAAUGUCCUUAAACAACUUCACAUCAAUUUAACUUUGGUGGAAGCUUUGGAGCAAAUUCCCAACUAUUUCGAGUUAUGAAAGACAUACUUUCAAGUAAGAGACAAUUGGGAGAAUUUGAAACAGUCGCACUCACUGACGGGUGCACUACUAUGUUGACAAAUAAAUUGCCUCCAAUGUUGAAGGACCCAGGAAGCUUCACAAUACCUUGCUCAAUUGGUAACCAAUAUGUUGGGAAGGCCUUGUGCGAUUUAGGAGCGAGUAUAAACCUUGUACCCAUGUCAGCGUUUAAAAAGUUGAGAAUUGGUAAAGCAAAACCUACCACUGUGACCUUGCAAUUGGCAGAUCGAUCAUAUGCACGCACAGAAGGUAAAAUUGAAGAUGUCCUGGUAAGGGUAGAUAAAUUCAUUGUCCCUACUGAUUUAAUUGUAUUUGACUGUGAAGCUGACAAAGAUGUGCCUAUUAUUCUAGGUAGACAUUUUCUUUCAACAGGUUGGACUGUGAUUGAUGUUCAAAAGGGUGAAUGAACUAUGAGGGUGAAUGAUCAACAAAUCACUAUUAAUGUUUUCCAGGCUUUGAAAUGUGCUGAUGAUAUAGAAGAGUCUCAUGUUGUUAGUUUGUUAGACUCUGUUGUGGAAGAGGAAUUGAAAAAAAAAACCAUGACAAAGAGCAUAGUGAAUUGGAUUCAGUUGAUAUUGAUGAUGAAGGGCCAUUAGGACAGCACAAGUAGUUGCUGACAUCCAAACUAAUUGUCGAUAGACCCUGAAAGAGGUUUGACACAUUAGAUUUAUCUCUUUGAAUCUUCAGCCCUACUAAACUAUCCAUAGAAGAACUACCCACGUUAGAUUUGAAACCUCUACCUGCACAGUUAAAGUACACUUAUUUGGGGAAGGAUAACACAUUGCAUGUGGUUGUAUCUAUUGAACUGAAUUAUGAGCAAGAGGUUCAAUUUUUAGUUGUACUUAGGAAAUUAAAAAAAAACAUUAGGAUGGGCAAUCGAAGAUAUUAAUGGAAUUAGCCCCACAAUUUGUAUGCACAAAAUUUUGUUGGACCCUAUUAUGAAAGAGGUGGUGAAAAGGAGAUAAUUAAAUGGUUAGAUUUUGGCAUUAUUUACCCAAUCUCAGUUAGCUCUUGGGUGAUUCCAACCUAAUGUGUGCCAAAGAAGGGAGGUGUCACUGUGGUCAGUAAGGAUAAUAAUGAGGUUAUACCUACACGAUCUGUCACAGGAUGGCGAGUCUGUAUGGACUACCACUAGCUCAAAAAGCUACAAGGAGAGACCAUUUUCCACUGCCUUUCAUUUAUCAAAUGUUAGACCAAUUAGCUGGUAAGGAUUUCUACUGCUUCUUAGAUGGAUAUUAUGGGUACAAUAAGAUUGCAAUCGCCCAAAAGGAUUAAGAAAAAACAACAUUCACCUGUCCAUAUGGUACAUUUUCCUUCAGAAGAAUGCCUUUUGCCUGUGUAAUGUACCGGUAACAUUUUAACGGUUCAUGAUGUCAAUAUUCUUGGAUAUGGUUGAGAAGUUCCUUGAAGUGUUUAUGGAUGAUUUCUCUGUAUUUGGGAAUGAUUUCGAAGGUUGUUUGCACAAAUUAGAUUUGGUUCUUCAACGCUGUGAGGAGACUAACCUUAUUUUAAAUUGAGAGAAGUGUCAUUUCAUGGUACGAGAAGGCAUUGUCCUAGGGCAUAAGGUCUCUCAUAAAGGAAUCGAAGUUGACAAGGAAAAAAUUGAAGUGAUUGAGAAGUUGCCACCUCCAAUGAGUGUUAAGGGAAUUAAGAGCUUCUUAGGGCAUGCUAGAUUCUAUAAGAGAUUUAUCAAAGACUUUCCUAAGAUCUUUAAGCCCUUGUGUACCUUGUUGGAACAAAAUAAACCCUUCCUUUUUUAUGAUGCUUGCUUGUCUGCUUUUGAAUAGUUGAAGAAAUGACUAGUUGUUGCUCCAAUAGUAGUGGCCCCAGAUUGGUAACUGCCAUUUGAGCUCAUGUGCGACGUGAGCGGUUUUGCUAUUGGAGCCAUGCUUGGGCAACAGACAUGUAAGAUUUUUCACACUAUUUACUAUGCCAGCCGCACUCUAAUAAAAGUAAAAAUAAAUUACACUACCACUGAGAAGGAAUUAUUAGAUGUUGUGUUUACAUUUGGUAAGUUUAGAUCAUAUCUAGUAGGCUGUAGGGUCAUAGUAUAUACCGACCACUCUACAAUUAAAUACUUAGUAGCCAAGAAAGACACAAAGCAUAGACUGAUCAAGUGGAUUCUUUUACUACAAGAAUUUAAUUUAGAAAUUUGAGAUAGAAAAGGAAUAAAGAAUCAAGUAGAAAACCAUCUAUCCAGGCUAGAAGCUGGAAAUGAGGAUGGUAAUGUCAAGCUUAUUAAGGAAUACUUCCUAGACAAGCAACUGUUGGCGACCACGACAUUACCUUGGUAUGCUGAUAUAGUGAACUUCUUAGUAAGCGGUCAUCUACCACCUGAUCUUAACAAGCAAACAAAAAAGAAAUUCCUUCAUGAUGCAAGAUGUUAUUACUGGGAUGAGCAUUUCCUAUUCAAGUAGUGUGCUGAUAAGAUAAUUAGGAAGUGUGUCCUUGAUGAUGAAACACACAACAUUUUGCAACACUGUCAUUCAACCCCUUAUAGAGGAUACUUUGGAGGAAUGAGAACUGCUGCCAAAGUACUUCAGUUAGGAUUUUAUUGGCCAAGUCUAUUCAAUGGUGCCCAUAGCUUUUAUAAAGGCUAUGAUUAAUGUCAAAGAGCUGGUAAUGUUUCAAGAAGACAUGAAAUGCCAUUGUAAAACAUUCUAGAGGUUGAGUUGUUUGAUCUAUUGGGAUUAUACUUUAUGGGUCCAUUUCCACCAUCAUUUUUCAACCUAUACAUACUAGUGGCAGUCGAUUACAUCUCCAAGUGGGUAGAAGCUGUAAGCCUUCCUACCAAUGAUUCCAAGUCGGUGAUGAAAUUCUUGCACAAGAACAUACUCACGAGAUUUGGUAUGCCUCAAGCCAUCAUCAGUGAUGAGGGGUCUCAUUUUGAUUACAAACUCAUCACUAAUGCUUUGCACAGGUAUAGGGUGAAGCACAAACUUGCCACAACAUAUCACCCACAAACAAAUGGACAAGCUGAUAUUUCUAACAAGGAGAUUAAGUAGAAUCUGGAAAAUGUGGUGAAACCAACUCGAAAGGAUUAGUCCUUAAGAUUGGAUAAAGCCUUGUGGGCUCGUCGUACUGCCUUCAAAACACCGUUUGGAAUGUCACCUUUUAAUCUUUUUUAUGGUAAGCCAUGUCACCUUCCUGUUGAGUUAGAGAACAAGGCAUUUUGGGCCAUUAAAAAGCUGAAUAUGGAUUGGAUAACUGUCGAACAAAAAAAGACUAUUUGAGUUGAAUGAAAUGAAAGAAUUAAGAUCUCAAGCUAAUGAGAAUGCUAAGCUCUAUAAGGAAAAGACCAAGUGAUGGCAUGACAAGAGGAUCAUGCCAAGGAAAUUUGAACAGGGGAAACAAGUGUUGCUAUUUAUCUCAAGAUUGAAAUUGUUCCCUGGUAAGUUGAAAUCGCGAUAGUUAGGGCCUUUUGAUGUGAUCAAGUCGUAUCCUCAUGGUGCAGUGGACAUCAAAGAUACCAAGACUGGGAAAUUUUUUAAAUUUAAUGGUUAACAUUUAAAGCACUACUAGGGUGCUCAUGUGGAUCGAGACAAACAAUCCAUUGACCUUCGAGAUGUUUGAGCUCAAAAUAUUUUCUUUCUUUAUUUUCUUUAUUUUAUUUACUUUAAUUUCAUUUUUUAUAGUUUCUCUUUAAUUAGUUAACAUUAUUUUCAUUUCUGGUUAUAUUAUUUUAUUAAUGUACAAAUUUAGCAAGAAUUGCAGGGAAAAGAAAUGAAGGUGCAAGCUUGUUAGAUGUAGUACCAAGGCGUGUUUGCCUCAACAUUUCGAAAGAGAAUUAUGCCAUGAAAAAUUGGGUUAUUGGAUAUUGAAGGAAGAGAAAAUAAGGGUUGACAAGGAAGAAUGGUUCAAGGAAGAGAUUUUAGAUAGUUGGGCCCAUUCUAUUAAUUGGGUAUCCCAUGAUGAAACUGCCAAACGUGUUGCUUUAGGGCUAGGUUAUUAUAGAGUUCCUUCAAAAACAUUUUUAUUUCUCCUCUUUCAUUCCAUAAAACUUAAUCUAUAAGAUUUUCUAAACCAUUAACACCAUUACCCCCAUUUAUUUCUCUUCACCUGCCCACAUCUCUUUCAUUUUCCACAAUUCCUUCGUGUUUACCGUUCUUUUUCCUAAACCUCCCUGACCUCUCCUCUUGCACUUUCAACUUCUUUUAACUUCUCUUGAUAGUUUUAUUUUCCCAUCUAACCUAAACGACAUUCUCAAAGAUUUGUCAACAUUCUUCAAUAGCAAGAGUAAAAACCCCUUCUAAAGGUGCUAAAUUUUCAUAAAUGGGUGCUAUCGAACCUAAUACCUUCUUCAACAAUGUUGUUACUGUGAAGUACAACAACAACAUCUUUAAGCAAACAUUUUACUUCGAACAAGGUUUUUUGUUCAAAGAUGAGCCUUAUAUGGGAUAUGAUGAGUUAGUUUCCUCCAUUGUUGAGAAGCAUGGAUGGAAAAUUUUUUGCAUAUAUCUAAAUGAUGUUUUAGGGAAAGUAAUUCACGAGUUCUAUGUGCACAUCACUUGUCCUGAAAAUCCUUUUAUCUAUGUUCAUGAAACUUUAGUCCCAUUUGAUGAAGACCACAUUAGUGCCCAAUUUGGGUUAAUUGAUGUUCAAGAUGAACAUACUCCAUUCAUCGAAACCAUCAAUUUUGAUGACUGAAAUCAGGUAUUAAACGAUUUGUGUAUUAUAGGCACUCGAUGGAUCGUCUCUAGCGAAGAAUUCCAUACAAUCGAGAGGGCUUCCUUAAUGCCCAUAGGUAAAGUUUGGUACCACUUCCUCAAAAUUCGACUAAUGUCAUCCACCUACAUCACCACAGUAUGAAAGGGAAAAAUGCUAUUGUUUCAUUCAAUCAUUGUGGGUGGAAAAAUCAAUAUUGACUGGGUCAUUUUACAUGAAGUGCGUCAAUGUGCAGAGAAGAAUUCCGACAUCUUCAGUUUCCCUUCCCUCAUCAGUAUUCUUUGCAAAACAACUCAAUUACCUUUAAAUGCCAAUGAGGAUGUUACACCAAACAAGAGAGGAAUGUCUAGGGCUAUAUUUUACAAUAUCCAAGGAGUGGACACAUCAAAAAAACCUCAGCACAGUAAGGCACCCACCUCCUCUGCCAAGCACUUUCCCAUAGCAGAAGCCUCACCAUCUCAGAGCUCUUUUGAAAAACAAGUGUUGCAAUCAUUAGAGCAAUUGUAGUCGAGAAUGUCUCUGAUUGAGAUUUAGAAAUUUCAACUUGCUAAAGAGAUGGCAAAGGCCAAGGAACAGAAGGUAUGCUAUUGGUCCUAUGUGAGGGACAGAGAUGUGGCUCUAAAAUGGUCAUUGUAGAAAAACUUCACCAAGGUUUAGGAGGAACCAAUUGAAAUCCACCCUGACAAGGCCGAAUCUGCAAACAUGGGAGGUACUCCUGAUACAGUGAAAGCAACUGAUUAGGAGUCUGAGAAAAAAAAUCUCUGAAUGUUGAGAGUGGUGAAGAUGAGCAAAAUGAACCCACACCUACCAGUGAAGCCACCGAGAAGGGUAAAGAAACUAUUCCACCUACACCACCUAAAGCCAUGACUGCCCAAGACCGUGAAAUUGAUCGCAUCAUUAAUGAGAUCACUGAGUUUGAUAAAGAAGAGGAGGAUGCGCACUUCAUUCAAUGAAAAUGAAACCGCAUUAUAAGCAUAAUGCAUGCAAAUCCACCUAUCGAGAAUGAAAAAAUAAUCACCAACAUCCAAGUCAAGGGAGUUUUCUUCCCCUUAUGUAUUCAUGCAUUCAUAAUUUUUUUACUAUUACGUUUUCUGUAUAUAUAUUCCUGCAUUCAUGUUACAUAGAUGUUCAUGCAUUGAGGACAAUGCAUCCAUUAGGUUUGGGGGUGUAUCAAGCAUUUAGUAUGCAUCAUGUAUUUAGUAAGCAUGCUCAUCUUAGUAUAGGCAUUCUAGUAUAGCCAAUUUUUUUUGCCACGAAAUUUCCAAGAACUGGUUAGACUAUGAUGAGUACAAUUUUUACUUGUGAUGUUCGAUGAUGAGCUUAAUUCUUGAAUAAACCUGAACAUGUGAUAGUGGAUUAGGUGGGUUUAGUUUAGGUUAGGUUACUUGAGAAUCAAAUCCUGAAAAUGAGAUAUCCUAACCUCAAUUACAAAUGGACUAUUGCGAGUGUCUUUUAAUGGAUUUAAAGAAUCUUGAAGCUAAACUCAGUAAAAUUGCCAAAGCAUUACUGAAAGAAUUACCAGUAGACACUCUAAUGCUUAGAAUUGUCAAAUAAGUCAGCAACACUUUGUUUGCUCAUCGUUCUAUUGGCUAGAAAAGCAUCUUAAGCAAUAGUGUGUAAUAAAGAAAAAGGACAAUUAGGGGCACUCCACUAUAGUAAUAGGUUGAGUAGCUAAUGAGGUAGUUAUUUGCUCCAUCCAUAUUCUAAGUUAAAAUCCUUAGCUUCAUGAGUGAAUUCCAUUCAGAUCGUGACAUGAUUCAGUACUUGGUAAUUCAGUGUAUGCUCCAUUGUGAUUGUCGAGUCAAAGAAUUAUGUGAUGAGCUGAGCCCUUAUUAUUGCUCUAAAAAUACUAAGUUUAGAUAAAAGACGAGGUAAGUAAAUUAUGAGAUACUAGAUAUAGCCAAAAUACACACAUGAGCGGUCAGGAAUUUUGUUUUUAGGGUGAGAUUCUCUACACUACCUUUGGUAAGCAAACCUUGGAAACUUGAACAAGGUUUUAGACACAGAAGAUUGUUGAGAACUGGUGUAUAAAUUGUUCUUUGAAUGGACUAGCAAUACAAGUUGGUUAUGUGCAAUGGUAAUUUUUGCAUUCAUGCAUAUUUGCUUGAGGGCAAGUAAUGAUUUAGGUUUAGGGGUGUGAUAACUCUUGAAAAGAGUUAUAAUUGAUACUUUUAGACUUAGUUAACUGCUUGUACUUAAGUAAAAUUAGUUCCAUUUUAGGUAAUUGCAUGAUUAUUUUUAGUUAAUUGAGCAUUGCAUGUAAAGACAUGGGAUGGUGAUUAAUUUAGUGCAUCUGUACUUUUAAUUGUUGGUGGAAAGGCUUUGUGGUGGUUGAAUGACAAGUUUGAGGAAGAAAUAUAACAAAGGAUGAAGAUUUGUUGAGGUAUUAUGAGAGAUUGACAUGGUAAUGCUGAGGAAGAAAACAAUAAAUACCCAGUCAUCAAUUAGAGCAUUCAUCAGUUGGCCCCCUACAUGCAUGUGUAGUGGAAAAUAUCCACCUCAAAAUUAGGGAAAAAGCAAUCAUUGGUUGAUGACUUUUACCCUAGAGGAGGACCCAAGUAUAAAAGAAAAAGUCGGAUUGAUGGCCAAAAAGAAAGGUCUGCCAUUAAUGAGAGCUGAGGUCUGCCAUUAAUGAGAGCUGAAGGUACGACUGAUUGUAAAUAUGGAGCUUCGAUAGAGGUCUCUUUGUGAUAAUGAGGGUAGUUUCAGCUACUGGGAGAUUGGGUGAAGACGCACACCAGAUGCCAAGUUGGGGGAAUUUGUGUUUUGAACCCCGAUUUCUUCCUCUACAAUUUGUUCUAAAUCUACUGAUUUAAACUGUUAUUUUAGGAUGUUGAUGAUGUUAAAAUACUUAGCACAGCUGGGGAUUACUUUUGAUGAUGUUUUCACUUUGAUGAAUGUUUGUGGAUGUAUAUGAUUCAGUUUACUACUUUACUCAAUGUUUAUUUCGGUUUAUAUCCUUAUUAGGGCAUUGAUAAAUGCUUGAUAAGUUUGAAAGUAGCUUAAUAUCGACAUACUUGGGUUGCUUGGACCAAAAUUGGGUAAUAUAAGAGAACAUUAAAGGAAAUGCUCGUGUAAACUCUAGACAUAGAGCUUUACCUUAUACGAUUUAGAGAAUUGUGCUUUAGUCAUGGUUGCUAAUUCUUAGCCUAUAGAUAUAUAGUGUCUUAGCAGUGAGCAGUUUUAGGUCUUGCUUUCGACAGAGGUAGACCACGUUAGUACCCAAUCGAACAGUAGGUUACCAUAUUUUUACCAUGGCAUUGUUCCUCGGUUAUAACUAAUUCAUUAGUAAUCCCAGCAUUUUCAAUCAAUAUUCCAAUCUUGUCUAGAAUCUUUAGUGCUUUUAUUCGAUUUGUUGCAAUUGCAAUCUACAAUAGUACAUUUUAUUUCUUUCAGUUUUAGUGUAUUAAUUGCAUUGUUAUUUCUCAAAAAUAUCAUUCGAUUCAUUUAUCUUUUCUACUCAGUUGUGAUAAUUUAGACAAAGAAUACAAAUACAAUCCUCGUGGGAACGAUACUUAGUCAUCACUUUAUUACUCGAUUCGACAUGUAUACUUGCACAAUUCGCACAUCAUAUUAACACGCGACACUUCUCAAAGAUAGAUCGCAAUGAUAAAGAGUUUUUGUCUCAUUAACAAACCAACUCUCAGCCAAAGACUUCCUAGGUACAUGCCAUUACAAAAUGAAAUAUCAUCACACUUGAGCUUGGGAUUGAGGUUGGAUACUGAUUCAGUGAUAUUUUGAAAAGUACGUAACCUGCGCACGAAAAACCAAAAUCGUACGCUGAGUACAACUCAAUGGUAGUUCUAUAAUCUAAACAAUUUAAAUCGUAAUGUAAAUAUGUAAUAUGUACUAUACAAUAGAGAAAUGUCAUGUAGUUUAUCAAAUUUAUUAUGCUAACUUUAUUCACCAAUAUUCACAUUCAAAAUCUUACAAUUUCCAAAACAUGGCAAUAACCUUUAAGAAGGCAUUUGAUAAAUAACUCACAUAAUGGAAUUUUUCAUAUAACAUUUGUUAAUCUCAAGUCAUGCAAUGGCAUGAUCCAACUCUUUGAUCAAUACUUGAUUUCAUUUCACAAUUCACAUCUUGUAAAUUGUAUGAGCCGUUGUGGACUAGAGGAGAUGAAGGUUAGGCUACUUAAAGUGAGAAAGAAGCUUGUGAAGCGACUUACACCCUUAGGAUUCUUCUAAGUUCUCCCAUUGACUUGGGAAUGACCACCUUAGUUUUAUGGGCUAUAACUAUUACAUUUAUUUACUUCUUUAUAUUAUUCAUGUUUGUGAUACAAUGGAUGUUAUGUUAGCAUGUAUGUCAUAGUAUAUUGAUACAAUCAACUUCAAUAAAGAAAUAAAAUAGAUUAAAGUUGAACAUUAAUGGUGAGAUGAAUUUUAUUUAAACGCUCAAUAAAAUAUUAAUUUAAGAUUACCUUCCAAUAUUUUCCCUCGUUAAAGCCUCGAUCAAUACAAAGUGGGUUCUACUAAAGUGAAGUACUUGUAACUAUCUUGGUCAAACGCGAAGAAUGAGCAUGUGAUAUUCGUUGGUUAUAAUAUUGGUUCAUAAUUCAACUAGGUUACUCUAAUAGGAUUGGAAACCUAGAGGCAAGAGAUUUGGAUGAUCAUAAGAUGAUGCAAUAUUUUAAUAAACCGUGUAUGUAAUCUGUUUAACAUAUGUGAUAACUUGUUCCUGUCUGUCACUUAUUAAGUGUUCAUCAUUGAUUUUAAUGUCUAUUGGAUCUAAUAUAUUAUUUGUUAAGUGUUACCAGAUCUAUCUUGGGGCGAUGGAGUUUUCGUUAUUCAAAUUUAAUAGUUAACUUGCUGAUAAUAUUCGAAAAUAAGGAACAAAAGUUGUUCCAGUAAGAACACUCAUAGAUCAAAAGUUUGAAAAUAUUUUUAUUUUGAAAAUAUUGCAACAAUCUCUAUUUAAUUCGAAUUAUAGAAAUACAAACCGUGAAUUCCGAGAUAUUUGAUGUUAAUUUUAUCCUUCCCCUUUUUAAUUAAGGAUUCCGGUACAAUGUUAGCUACAAAAUAAAAAAAUUAAUAUACAUUAAUAUUACACAAUUCAAUUUCACAUUAAAUUUUAAAUUUUACACUAUUUUCGCUUAAACUUCAAUUUAGUCCCUAAAUCGAGACUAGUUUUAACCUUCACAUUUAACUUUAUAUUUUUAUACUAAUUUCAAUCUAAACUAAAUUUAGCUCCCUCUUUUCCAGUUCGACCCCUUAAUUUAAAUUUUUUCUUAAUUUAGUCCCUAUUGCUCAAAAUCAACAAUUUAUUCCACAAUUUAGUCCUUUUCCAUUUCCAGCUUAAAAAUCUAUCUAUUUAAUCCCUAAUACAUAAACUAUUCAACAAUGUAGACAUUUAAAAUCUUGAAAAAUACUAAAAAUUCAACAUGGGUUGGCUAGCCCUAGGUACUGAGAUUCUAAAAACGUAAAAAUUAUAAGAAAAAGGACUAAAUUGACUAACCAAUUGAAGUUUGAACCCCUAAAAUUUCUUAUAUAGCUGUGCGUGUUCCCCUUUUCUCCUUCCCCAAUUCAUUUUUCAUGUGAAAUAAAGUAAAGGAAUGGGUUUUUGUUUUGUUUUAAUGACUAUAUAUUAUUAUUAUAACUUAAUUUAUAACAUAUAUACAAUAUACUCAUGCACAUUGCUUUAACCCAUGGCCGGCCACCUAUACACAAUCAGUUAUUAAAUGGUAUAUUUGCUACUUUAGCCCCUUUACUUUAUUUUAUUCUAUAAUUCAACUUUUAACUUUAAAGCGAUUUAGUCCAUGCACCUUAAUAACUCUUAAUUCACGCAAAAUUACUUAUCCAAAUUUUAAUUAACUACACAAAUAACUUUGUAAAUAUUUAUUAAAAAUAUUUACGAGACUGGUUUAUGAGAAUGGAGUCCCAUAAAUACACUUUUCGUCACCCUUGACUAUCGGGUCGUUGCAUACUAUAUAAAGAUCAAGGAUGAUGAUGUGUCAAAGACAACCUUCCGAUCAAGAUAUGGUCACUAUGAGUUUCUGAUGAUGUCAUGUGGGUUGAAAAAUGCACUCACAAUAUUCUUGGACUUAAUGAAUAGGGUAUUUCAACCUUACUUGGAUCAAUUUGUUAUAGUCUUCAUUAAUGAUAUACUAAUUUAUUCUAAGGAUGAAGGUGAUCAUGAAAAGUAUUUAGGAAUUGUGUUGAGGACCUUCUGUGAACAUCAAUUAUAUGCAAAUUUUAGCAAAUGUGAAUUUUGACUGAAAGAGAUGUACUUUUUUGGACAUGUUAUCUCAGCGGAUGCUAUUAUGGUUGACCCUACCAAGGUAAAGGCAGUUAUCGAUUGGAACUCGCCUAAGAACAUUUCUGAAGUCUGCAACUUUCUAGGGUUUGCUAGAUACUAUAAAAGAUUUGUGAAGGGUUUCUCGAUAAUAGCAUCGCCUCUCACAAAGUUGCUAAAAAAGAAGGAGAAGUUUGUAUGGAGUGUUGGUUGCCAGUAGAGUUUCGAGAAAUCGAAGGCAAUUUUGAUCGAAGCUCUAAUGUUAGCACAACCAGGGCCCGAUAUCAAGUACACAAUUUACACAGAUGCAUCUCUGAAUGGGUUAGGAUGUGUCCAUAUGCAGAAAGGAAGAGUUAUAGCUUAUGCAUCAUGCCAACUGAAACCCCAUGAAAAAAAUUACCUUACACAUGAUUUGGAAUUAGCAGCAGUGGUCUUAGCAUUUAAACUUUGGAGGGAUUACUUGUAUGGGGAAAGAUGUCACAUAUUCUCUAACCAAAAAAAUCUAAAAUACUUAAUAACCCAAACAGAUUUGAGUCUACACUAAAGAAGAUGGUUGGAACCAUUGAAAGACUAUGAUUUGAUCAUUGAGUAUCACCCAUGGAAAGAAAAUGCUAUGACAGAUGCUUUAGUAUAUGAAUGAACUUCAGUAUAGGAAGAGAUGGUGAGCUCAAGUUUAAGAACAUGAGUUUUAUACCUGCGGGAAAUGGAUGAGGAAGGAAUUGUUAAGGGAAGCUCACCAGUGACCCUUUUCACUUCACCCUAGUAGCAUCAAAAUGUACAGAGAUCUAAAAGACUCAUAUUGGUGGCUUGGUAAUCAAAAGGAAAUUUCAAAGUAUGUCUCAACUUGUCUGACUUGUCAAAAAGUUAACGUUGUCCAAUUUCCUUCUAGUAAGCUGUAUCUUUUGGAAAUUCCCGAAUGGAAAUGGGAUAGGAUCACCAUAAAUAAUUUUUGAGGUUACCCCUCAAUCCGUCCAAGAAGAAUAUUGUGUGGGUGGUAGUUGAUCGGUUUACCAAGUUAGCUCACUUUCUUCCAUUAAAUACCACUUAUUCCAUGGAGAAAUUAGUUGAAUUGUAUAUUUUUGAUAUACCACGCUUGCAUAGGGUACCAUCAUCCAUAGUGUCUGACAUAGAUUUAAGGUUUACUUCGAGGUUCUGACAUUAGUUAUAACAAUCAUUGGGAAACAAGCUGAAAUUUAGCAUUGCAUUUCACCCUCAAACUAAUGGCCAAUCAAAAAUGGUUAUUUAGGUUUUAGAGGAUAUGAUGGGUUACUGUGUGACUUAUUUUAGAAUAAUUUGGGAGAAGUAUGUUCCCCUCAUAGAAUUAUCUUACAAUAACAGUUACCACGCCAUCUUGAAGAUGUCUUCCUUCGAGGCCUUGUAUGGUAGAAGGUGUAAAAAACCUACAUGUUGGAUGAAACUUAGUGAAAGAAAGAUUGUGGGUCCAAAUUUGGUACGUGAAACAGAAGAGAAAGUUACCAUCAUCCAUAGUCACUUAAAAGUUGCACAAGACCGACAGAAAUCAUAUGUAGAUUUGAAAAGAAAAAAAUAUAUUUUAAGGUAAGGGAUAAAGUAUUUUUGAAGGUCUCCCCAUGGAAAAAGAUUAUCCUAUUUUUCUAGAAAGGAAAACUGACUCCAAAGUUUGUAGGGUCGUAUGAGGUUUUGGAAAGGGUCGGACUAGUGGCGUCCAAAAUUUUUUUGCCUCCUGAGUUAUCAGAGAUCCACAAUGUAUUCCAUGUAUCAAUGUUAAGAAGGUAUAGAUCCAAUCCUUAUCAUGUGAUACAGAUUGAAGAGCUUGAGGUUGAAUCGAACCUAUCUUCUGAAGAAGAACUUGUUUGUGUUUUGGCCAAAGAAGUUAAGGAGCUGAGAAAUAAAAGAAUUCCCUUGGUUAAGGUGUUAUGGAGGAAUCAUAUCACUGAAAAACUACUUAGGAAAGAGAGAGCUUUGUGAAAGAUCAGUAUCCUCAAUUAUUUUUAGGUAUGAAUUUCGGGAACGAAAUUUCCUAAGUAGGAGAGAGUUGUAACAUUCUGCCCGACAAAACCGUAAUGUUCGAGUGCUUUUUAUAGAAGUAAGACAUAUAGAGUAUGUUCUAAGUGGGUAAGGUAUUAAGAUUGACUAAGCAUAUAAGUCUAUGGCUUCGACUUCGGGCAAAGUCUGUUCUAGGCAAAGCUUGGUGGUUGGGUGAACUUUUCUCAACAGUAUAUGUCAUUCCAACUAUUAGAUGAAAUUUUGCUAAGUCCUCAGUUUGUAUGAAUCAUUUGAGUUAUUAUUUUAUUAUCCUGGUAAAAAAUCUGGUUAGACGAAUGAAAAUUUGGUUAGUAUAGGACUAAGUUUCUGCAACCGGUUAGAUCCACAUUUAUGAAUAGAGAGAAAGAUCUUAGUCACAAGUAACGAGAGGUUUGGAGGGAAAUAAGACUUACCCAUUAAGUUAUCCUUCUGUGUAUUUUUGUAUAAAACAAGAUUUGGCUUCCUAAGAAACUUUUAUGCUUUCUUUGUCAACCAUAUUUUCUUCCCAAACUUUCUCUUUAUUUUUCUCUCAGAAAACCCUAGACUUAAGACUUGUUCAAAGAUUUUGGGUUCAUUGUACUCAUCCAACUCCAUCAUCGUUUAGCACCUAGUAAAUAUCGAUGAAACUGAUGUUAUUUUCAUGGUUAUUUACGGGCCGUAGGGUUUCAUGCUUUAGGGUCAGUUUAAAGUGUGAGUAAGGAAACUUUCAGAUUUUGGGUUUUUUGUUAAUGUUCUUGUAAACUUGUUUAGUUUUCUGGUAUAAUAAAUUGAUAAGUUUAACUAUCUAUACUAUAGCUCAAGAUACUUCUAAGGGCUCCCGUGAUAAGGGCAAAGGUAUUGUUCUUUGAAUAUUUUUGUAUGUUCUAGUGAGUUCAUUCUUAUUUCUUACUUCCAGGUGUGUAUAUAAUGCCCUUGUUUAUGUUUGUUUGAUAUAAGUGUUCUAAUCUUGUAAAGAUGUGUAACACCCUCACCCAGCCUGGUUACCAGACUUGAGUUACGGAAUGCUAUAGCAAACACCAAAAUAUUUACACACAAAUUAUAACAUUGAAUUCAAAUAAAAUUAUCAAAUUAAUCCAAAUUCAUGCAUAAUAGAAGUUAUUAGUAAAGCAGGGACUAGAUCAAACAUACAAACAUAGUUUAAUAUUGAGCAUGAUUAAGGACCAAUCUGAAAAUUUUUAAAACUUUGGAACUAGGUAUCGAUACCAAAGUAACAAAUACCGAUACUUUUAUGGUAGGUAUCAAUAUUAUAAUAGGUACCGAUACGGUUUUUGCAUUUUGCCAUUUUCAAGACACUAGUCAUUUGGUCAAGUAUCGACACCUUUGUUCCUGGUAUCGAUACUUUUACCCAAAUGGUCAAAAUCACAAAUUUAGAAGUUCAUUUCAUGCCCAAAUUUAAAUCUUAGCUCAUAGAUACAUAUAGGUACACAAAUAACCUGCAAAGAACUCAUUCAGUUCAUUACAAACAUACGACCAAUAUGUCACAGUUGGCACCUCAAUCCAACAAUUCAAAUUUAGACAUAAUACCAUAUUCAAAACAAUCCAAUAUGCCUUCCAAGGCACCUCAAAACAAUUAACAUAGCAUACCUCAUUUAACUCUAUUUAUAACACCUUAUAACAAUGAUUCAAUAUCAACCAUUCAAGCAUGCACAAUACCUUACCAAAUUCAUUAAAACCUAUCAUAUACAUACCAUAUAGGUACUAAGACACCCUGAAGAAGUGUGCACUGAUUUCUAUAUAAUGACACAGGUCUUGAUGUGUCGUGACAUCACUCUAGACAGAAACUAAUAAUAAGUCAGGGGUAUUUUUGUCCGUACAAUCUAACUUUAGGCUUGGAAACGUUAACUAAACCUAGGGUUAAGGACGACGACCACCUCAAGUCUAUAAAUAGGCUCUUUGGGCAAAUGUUAUAUACACCAAUUACUUAGUUUGGAAUUUAUCUUUUCAUUUUAAUAUGAGUUUUUCUUUUUUCUUAGGUUUUAUAUUUAUUUUCGUUUGUUUUUUGUUUUAUCAUGGGAAAUUUGGUUUGUGGAUGCAAUCAAACUUUGUGGAUUCACUCUAAUUCUUAAUACAAAUUAGGAUUUUUCCUAAACUUUAUACUUUCGAUUUAUUUAUUAUGUUUAUUCUUUAUAUCGAUUUUAUAUUGUUUAUGAAAACUAUGAGGAACUAAUACCUCUAUGUGGGAUUAGCGAGUGGAGGUAUGAUGGAUUAACUAUUUUGUAUGGUUACUUAAUGGAUCAGCUGUUCGAGAAUGGAAGAACCUAAACCAUAGGCUUGAUGACCCUAGGAAGUUGUUAAGGUGAUAAUUAACCCAAACUUGGUAUGGCUUAUCCGUAAACACCUUAACCCUGAGCCGGUCUAGACUAUGAGGUCAGAAGAUAAGUAGUCUUUGCUGACUCAUUAUUCUAGUAGAUGUAUCAAAAGAUCUUGUUAGGGCAUCGACUAGUUGAUUGACGAGGAGCCCAAAGUGACAAUUGAUAAAGAUUACCGAAGUGAGCUAAUCACCCAUAAUCAGAUCUGAUCAAUUUUACUCUUAAAAUUCCCAAUAUUAUUUGCUUUUCUUAUUAUUAUUACUAUUAUUAUAAAAAAACCCCAAAACCCCUAUUAUUUAUAUUUUCGUAAUAUAACCUUUUUUGAGUACUAAUUAGAUCUUAUGGUGCUUAGGUUGUAAUUGGCCUAGUACUAGCCUCCCUUAGGUACAAUCCUCGGAAUACAUACCAGAUGUUUCAUUGUAAAUAAGACUAUAUUAAAACUGAACCACAUACUUACGGACAUCACCUCAAUUCCUUAUAUUUUGUAGCAGUAUUCACGCUCAAAUUGCUAGUAUGUCCGAAGGCGAUCAAGUUGUUGGCCUUGUUGCUGGGGAGGCAAUAGCAUUAGUUCGAUUUUAAUUUUUGCAUUUAAUUAAGAAUAAUUAUGAAAUUUUUAGGUUAUAGAUAAGAUUUUAUUUUUUUAAUUGUUUCUAAUUUUAUCUUUUUGGUCUAGUGUAUGACUUGUGGUAGGGGCCACACCUAUAGAGCUAGUCGCAGAUCUAGAAAGAAUAAUACGCAGAAAUCGUCGACAGCAACAAUAGUAGCAGUAGAUGCAGAAUAAACCACCGGCUGUAGGAAACAUACCACGUGAGAAUCCGUUGUUUGAAGAAGCUAACAACAAUGAUUUAUAAGAUACACCACCAACACCACAGCUACCUGUAAACCUAACAAUGGCACGUAACGAGAUAACCUUGAGAGAUUACGCCUUACCAAAUUCAGAUGAUCCAAAAUAAUCUGCAAUUUAGGGGCACAAUGACCGAGGAUCCGAAUCAACACUUAAAUGGCUCAUUCAACUUUGUGAUACUUUCAAAUACAACAGGGCCACCGAUGACACUAUUUGUCUUCGAUUUUUCCCCUUUUUCUUGAUCAAUAACGCAUUUUCUUGGUUAGAUUCACAGGCACUAGGAUCUAUUACAACAUGGGACGAGCUAGCAAGAAAAUUCCUACAAAAGUUCUUCCCUAUUAGAAAAACAUUUCAAUUAAGAAGAGAGAUUUCCAUGUUUACACAAUUGGAAGGGGAAAGUCUUUACGAGGCUUGGGAACCUUUCAAGACAUUGAUCCAAAAAUGCAAGCACCACGGAUUACUUGAGUGAUUAUGAUUGUAGAUGUUAUACAAUAGGUUGGAUGCACAUGGGAGGUCCGAAUUAGAUGGAGCAGCAGAAGUAGCUCUUAUGAAUAGAACGUACGAGGAUGCGUACGAAUUAAUAGAAAACAUGGUGAUGAACUCCUAUCAAUGGCCUACGAGUGAUUCACAUAUGGAGAGAAACCAUUUACGGUAAAGGCUGUCCAGGAAGAUAAUAAAUACCAGCAGUUAGUAGGCAGACUCAACCGUAUUGAAUUCGCAAAUAGUGCACCGUCUAUGUAUGGAGGAGACAAACUGCUCUUCCAUUAUAUCAAUAAUCCUAUCGAUGAUGUAAAUUACAUUGGGAAUAUGGGUGGAAACCCUUAUUCAAAUACUUACAAUAAUUGUUAGAGAAAUCACCCAAACUUGAGAUGGGGAGGAAUCAAGGAGGAGGUAACAAUUCAUAUCAAGUUAAAAAUACUAAUUACCAACAUUUGCAGAAACCUCAAGACAGGGCCAACUUAAACGACCAUACUAUAUGUGGUCAAUGUUUGGAUUGAAUUGAAAGGGAAAUGAAGUCAAUGAGAAUAGAUGUAAAGCAUGUGCAAUCUGAGUGCACUAGUUCAGCAAGAACAUUGACUAAGCUAAAGGACCAAAUGAGCCAAUUAAUGAGCAUGAUAGGAGAUAUUAAAGGCAAAGUAGCACUGACAUGCCAACCAAUACUGAGAAUAAUCCUCGAAAAGAAGGGAAUGAGCAAGUAAAGGCAAUCAAGCUCUGUUCGGGAAAAAUCUUGAGUAGCCCACCACCCUGACUCAAGAGGAAGCAAAAGAGAAUGCAUAAGGCCCUCCAAAAAAACCCCAUAAAGCUUAUCAGGAACAAGGAUCAGAUGAGGUCAUCAGACUGGCUGCCGAACUAGAAGAGAAGGUAAAAGACAAGGCCACUAACACACAGGUACCGUUCCCUUCCAAAUUAGGAGAGAAAUAGGGACGGGAUGAGGACGAGUUCGUGAGUUUUCUAAUUUUUUUCAAAACAUUGAAUAUCAACCUAACAUUAACUAAAUUAAUCGAGAAAGUUCCUAAAUACACCAAAUUGUUAAAAGAAAUUAUGUCGAGGCGUAGGAAAAUUAAGGUAGGAGAGUAAGUUAAAAAAAAAGCGUCCUGUGGUGCUAUUAUUUCCAGACAAGUACCCUAGAAACUGAAAGACCUAAGAAGUUUUACAAUUCUAAUAGAGAUAGGGAGCAUUCAUUUUAAGAAAGCUCUAUGCGAUUUAGGAGCUAGUAUAAAUCUAAUGCCUUUACCUAUUUACGAAAAACACUGGAUAUGGGACCUCAAAAACACUCAAAUUACACUACAGUUAGCUGAAAAAUCUGUAGCCCAACCUUAGGGACUGCUAGAAUAUGUGUUAGUUAAGGUGCAUAGUUUUAUUAUCCUGACAGAUUUUGUAAUUUCAUAUUUUGAAGAGGAUCCAGAGAUACCCAUCUUGUUGGGAUAACCUUUUCUAGCCACAUCCGGGUCCACCAUUGAUCUAGAGAAAAAUGAAUUAACGAUGAAAAUCAAUGGUGAAACUAAAACUUUUAAAUGUGGAUCUCACCAAAGUGAGGAAAGCCAAAGGAAAUUAAGGGAGCAAUGUCAUUACAUAUUUACCUUAGAAUCUAACUACCUUGAAUCCAAUCAUACGUUUAAUGUUAUUAAUGCAGGGUUAAGAAGCAAGUAUAAGGAAAGAUACAAGCGAAAAAAGAUAAAGGGGCAUGACAGCCGGUGGACAAAUGCUAAAAGAGACCUAAGUGAGAAUGCGUCGGUGGAACUGUUGGAUGAAUCUGACAGUAAAACAUGACAAAACUUUAAAUACAAUUUUCAUUUAUAUUAUUGUACAUUCAACUAACCAUGUAGUUUAGAUUCUAAUACAAUUUUCAUUUAUAUUAUUGUACAUUCAGCUAACCAUGUAGUUUAGAUUCUAACUUAUAUUAGAUGUAUGUUUACUAUAAACCGAGACAUCUUAAAAAUGGAAAAAAUUGGGCUGAAAUAGAGUUGGUGCCACAACAUGGCAUCCCCAUGUCGCAACACCGCAUGCAAAAUGUAAAAAACGGAGAAAGCACCUAGAUGUCACAAUAUAGCACCUCCGUGUCGCAACAUAGGCAACAAUUUCCCCAAGUUUUCCAAAUUGUAGGCUGCAUCGCAACACAACACCCCAAUGUCGCGAUAUGGUACCCCUGUGUCGUGACAUCGUUGUAAUUUUUUGCAGGGUUGACUUGACCCAUUAGAGUAACCUGAUAGCUUUAAACCCAUUUUGAUCGAUUUUAACCCUUUAAACUCUUAAUUUAUAACCCUAAAACAUAUUAUAACCCUAUUGAAACAUAUUUUAACCCCUUAAAUAUCUAAAACCUUUCAAACCUCUCAAAACCUUUUAAACCCUAAAACCCUAUUCCUUUUGAUUUGUUUGUAAAAGCUCUAUGUUUCAAUCAUACUCGAUGCAGUAAAUAAUGGGAACACCCAAGGGAACAAUAAAUCGUCGUAUGAAAUAAGGAAUUCAACGACUUCUACGAGGUUAAGGGUUCUUAACUUAAACUUUUACUGUUCCAUUGAAUUUCUUUACUUGAUAUUUUACUUUAGUUCUUAGUUUAACCAUAAUGCCUCAUAUAAAGGUUAGAAGAACUAAUGAACUGAAGCCAUCAAUGGUUUCAAACCCUUCUAGUUUUUCGAAUCAGUAUGUUGAAUUUUUUUUACUGAACUUCAAGGUUAAACAUUCAUUCAAGAGGAGGGAUUAGAUCCGUCAAUGGUCGUUUGUAAAGAGAUAGGGCCUAUAGUUAGGUAUCAUAGGUGGGGAAGUUUUUGGAAGAUCCCAAAAGAUGUUGUUGUGGUCUUGAUAGUCCAAGAAUUUUCUGCAUCUUUGUGGGACGACGAGUUUAGAAAUAUUGAUGGCCAUAUGGGAUACUGUAUCUAUGCGGGGGAUAAAAGUUAAAGUAACCCCUCAAAUUAUUUGUGAUUUUUAUAAUGCUUCAUACUAUGACCAAGAUUUUAUUGAUGAAACUGAUUUAGAAUACUUUCGGGACAUAAAUAUGGACAAUAUUAUAAAUUACUUAACAAAAAGAAAGGGUAAAUGGAAAUAUCGCCUAGGUACUAGUAUCCCAACCUCCUUCAAUCAAGCUAUCAUGUUCUUGGAGGCUAAAAUGUGGAUUCAAUUUGUGUGCACAUGAAUAGUCACUACUUUAAAUGUAUCUAACGUUAAUACCUUCCGAGCAAUUUUACUCCAUGCUAUUUUUUAAAACAAGUAGGUAUGUAUUGGGAAAUGGAUCCACCAAAACAUGAAGAGAUGUAUUAGUUGCCAGAAAGUGGGAUUUUUCUUUACUCACUUAGUGAUAGCCUUAUGCAAAAGAGCGGGCAUGCCUAUGGCGUCCGCCAAGCAGUCGCUGAAACCAUCACGAAGUAUUAUUGGUGACACAUUGUUCCAACAAUACACUAAUAUAUGAGCCAAACAAAUAAAAGAUUGAAACAAAUGACAACAAGAAGCGGCGGGUGAACUAGCUUCAUCACAAGGGUUGGCAUGAGCUCAAUAGAAAGUUUGUGAGAGUAAUCAUCCAAAAUUGGAUUGAAUGAUACAGUGGAUGCAAGAUUUAGGGCCACUAUUUCAAGAAUUUGCAGGGCAAAAAAAUAUUAGGGUCCCCAAUUAUACGCCAGACAUGUUUAGGCUUACACCAUCCGAGCAGGAAGAAAGAGAGCCUAAAAGCGAAUAUAAAAGAAAGGGAGAAAGAGAUGAUUAGAUGGAUUAUGAGGAGGAUUGACUUUAAUUUUUGGAUUGUAUUAAAAUUUUUGGAUGAUUGUAAUUUGUUUUAGGAGUAGGAUAAUAGUAGAUUUUUAGUUAUUUUGUGUUUGGUUUUAAUUUUCUAUAUAGGAACCCCACAUGAAGGAGAAACAAUUUGAACUAAUUUAUAUUUGCCUUCUUUCUUUGGUCCUAAACUACAUGACUAUAGAAGUCUGGCCAUAUGUAUUAAGGGUUUAGUAGAUACAUUAUGGCGAAUUUUGUAAAAAUAGAGUGAAAUAGGAAAGAUCAGAUGAUAUAGGAAUUAUAGGUUAGCCUAAAGUGAAAAACAAAAGAAAAAUUCAAAAUGAAAUCAAAAUGAGUAGAAAAAGUACUUAAAAAGAAAAAGCAUUUGUGAGUAAGGCGUAUUGAAAAAGAAAAAGGUGACGAAGUCGCAAAAAUAGAAAAACUCAUUCAUUAGUGCAUAGAAACUUGUAAGCUAGCCGUAAUUGCUAUAUUAAGUUGUGAUUUCCUAUGUGAAGAAAUAAGGAAGGUGAAAUAAGGAGAAAUAAGGCAGUGAACGAGUAAGGGUCACUAAGGGGGGAGAAUUAGGAACAAUAUGAUGUGCCAAACUAUUUUCUUGCUUGAAACCUUUGUGAUGCCUAUUAUUCUUAAUUUCCAUACUUGUCUUAGCUUGCGAAAGUUACAAGCUGAAAAGUCCUAUGUGAUAGAGGUAUCCUUAUGCAUAAGUGGACAUUAUAUUAAACAAUCACAUGAGCAACUAUAUGUAUUCUGCUAGGAUAAUCAAACUACUUGUAUGGUUUGUUGAUGGAUUCCUACAUGUGAGGCCUUUAAUGUUUGUAUACUUUGUAAUGUACUGAACUUAUAUGUUUGAGAUUAAAAGUGGUAAGUCAAUUAUUCAUCAUGUCAAAAUUGUUUGUAAAGAUAAAAUGCCUAGUCAUGUGCUCCAAAGUCAAUACUUGUAUUAUAUUUGCUCAGUCAUCUUUCUCAUUUCGUGUUUUUAUUUAUAUUGCUUGAGAACAAGAAAUGACUUAAAUGUGGGGGAGUUUGAUCUGCCUUAAUUUAGUGUAGCAGAUUAAAUUAGUUUUCGCACUUUAGGAGCUUGUAAAUAAGCUUUAUUAUUAGGUUUUAAUUAUGUAUUAGUAAGUUUAGUUGAAUUCAAUAAAAUGUGCAAUUUGAGUCUUUUAUUGACCUUAGGGGCCGAAUGAGGCCUAAAAGAGAGCUAAUGUACUUUGUGAGUGUGUAGGAGACCAUUAGAGGGCAUGCUAAACCGAUAUUGGUUACCAUGUCGAACCAUAAAGGAUUCAAUGUCGUUACAUAGGGAGCAGAAUGGAGGAAUUCUGAGACUGCCUUUGAUGUCGCAACAUGGCCUAAGAGUGUUGCGACAUACCUCUGAAGACACCCUGAAAAAGAGUGUACUAACUUCUAUGUCACGAUACAUGUCCCGAUGUGUCAUGACAUCGACUCCGGAUGGAAAGUAAUUAUGAGACAGGGGUGUUGUGGUCCGUACAAUCCAACUUUAAGCUCGAGAACGUCAGUGAAACCUAAGGUUAAGGACGACGGCCACCUCAAGUCUAUAAAUAGACUCAUUUGACAUAUGUUAUAGAAACCAAUUACUUAGUUCAGAAUUUCUCUUUUCAUUUUAGUUUGAGUUUUUCUCUUUUCUUAGGUUUUAGAUUUAUUUCCGUUUAUUCUUUAUUUUAUCACAGGAAAUCUGGUUUGUAGGUACAAUCAAACUUUGUGGACUCACUCUCAUUCUUAAUACAAAUCGGGUUUUUUCCUAAACUUUAUGCUUUCGAUUUAUUAAUUAUGUUUACGCUUUAUAUCAAUUUUAUAUUGUUUAUGAAAACUAUGAGGAACUAAUCCCUCAAUGGGGGAUUCACGAGUGGAGGUAUGACGGAUUAACUAUUUUGUAGGGUUAUUCAAUAGAUAAACUAUUCGAGAAAGUAAGAACCUAAACCCUAGGCUUAACAACCAUAGAAAGUUAUCAAGGUGGGAAUUGACCCAAAAUUGGUAUGGCCUAUCCGUAAACACCUUAACCCCGAGCUAGUCUAUACUAUGAGGUCGAAAGAUAAGUAAUAUUUACUGACUCGUUAUCCUAGUGGACGUAUCAGAAGAUCCUACUAAGGUAUCGACUAGUUUAUUGACGAGGAGCCCGAAGCGACAGUUGAUAAAGGUUACCGAAGCGAGCUAAUUACCCAUAAUCAAAUCUAAUCAACUUUACUUUUAGAAUUCCUACUAUUAUUUGCUUUUCUUAUUUUUAUUACAUUAUUAUAAAAACCCCAAAAAUCCCUAUUAUAUAUAUUUUCGUAAUAUAACCUAUUUUGAGUACUAAUUAGAUCUUGUGGUUCUUAGGUUGAAAUCGGCCUAGUGCUAGCUUCCCUUGGGUACGAUCCUCGAAAUACUUACCAAGUGUUUCAUUAUAAACAAAACUAUAUUACAACCUAACCCGUAUACUUAGAGACAUCACCUCAAUUCCUUAUAUUUUGUAGCAAUAUUCACACUCUGGAUUUUAGUACGUUCGGAGGUGGUCAAAACAUAUACGACAACAUAACUCUCUUAGGUACAUGCCAAAACAUGCCAAAUAUUCUAUACCUCACUUUCAAACCAACUAAUCUAUAUCAUGACAUCAUAUUGCUUAUAUAAUUGCAUACUCAAAAUGUCAUCUCAAAUACUAAAUACACAAUUCAAACCAUAUCACUAUAUAAGUAAACCAAAACAACUCAAAAGUACAUGCCACACAUAACCAGUCCUUAAUAUGGUCAAAAGACUACAGAAUAAAUAUCGGGAUAGUGUGAACUUCUCGACGAUUCGUCUGACAUGUUCCGCAAGUUGACACUACAGGGAGGAAGGAAACAAGGGAGUAAGCAUUACAAUUGCUUAGUAAUUCUACAUGUAUUAAAACCAAAUAACUAUAGACUACAUGUCACUUAGCAUGAUAAAGUUUGUCUAUCAUGACAAAUCGCAUAUCCAAAAGGUGAGUUCAACAUUUAUCAUACUAUAUAUUAGUUCAACCGUAUAACAUUUCAAUACACUUAAUUCAACAUUUCAUUAUGAUUAAUAAAAUAAACACUCAUUUAAUCAUUUCAUUAUCUUAAUCAAACCAGGCCAUUUAUUUACUUGUAAUACAUCCCAUUUCAAAAUAAUGUCAAACAUUAUUUUUCAUUUUAUAAUUUGAAUUCUCAAUCAGAUUCAUAUUAAAUCGUAUAAACUUCAUUCCCACUUCAUAUAAAUUCACCUUUAUACCAAAUAUAUAUAUCAAUUACCAAUUUAAUGUCAAUUACUACUUCAUUUCACAAUAAGAAUUACGAAUCACAUUCCAUCUCAAUUUCCAAAUUCAUGGAUUCAUUGGACAUAAUCAAUCAAUGUUCCCAACUCAUUCCACAAAUUCAUAUUCCAUUUCACAUUUGACUUCCAUUUCACAUCAUUUGUCAUUUCAAAUAUCAGAUAUUUCAUUUUUACCAUUUAUUUCCCUAUUAACAUGACUUGGACUCGGACGGAUACACAAAUCUAACCAACACACUAGUUUGGCACCCAAUAUCUCAUCGGAUAAAUCCCAAGCAAAUAGUUGCGCCCAGCGCUAUCAAUAAGUUUGACACCCAGUGUCUCAUUAAUAUAACGAAAGCAAAUUAGCACCCAGUGCCUCAUCAACUCGUAGUCAAAGUAACCCUGAACUCUUCCUAUCCUAUGGCAUGCCAACUAUAUUUGAAUUUGCCCGAACAAUUAAUAGGUAUUCGUUUCAUAUUUCAUUAUCAACCAAUACCUCAGUUCACAUUUAUUUUCAUCACGAGUACAUUUAUCCAACAUAUGUCAAAAAUAAAUCAUCUCAAUAUAAGCUCAAUUUCACAUUAUAACAUUAUAUUAUACUUUUACAUAUAUUUAAUUUAGUCCUUAUCAUUAUCAACCAAUCUAAGUCAAAUCAAGUCAGCUCAUCUCAUCAAAAUAUCACUUAAUCACAUAAUGUAUCCUAAUUCAAUCCAAUUUAAGGUCAAUUGCAUAAUUAUUUCAAUUUUCAAUUCAUUGUAUUCAAUUUAAUCCUCUCACUUAGCUUUUUGUACCGAAUUGUAAACAAUUAAAAUUUUAAUUAAAUAUAAUUCCAAUUAUAAUUCUAAAUGCAUAACCAUUUAACACAAACAUACCAUGUGAACUUACCUGGUUAAGACAACAAACAAACAACUCCCUAAGGACUAAUCAAAAAAUUUUGCCAUUUGCCUGAUUUUCUUCAAUUUGGUCCAAUUUCUUAUCUAUUCUAUAAUUCAAUUCAAUUUAUCAAUUCCAAACAUCUUAUAUCAUCCUAUUAUAAGUAUUUAUCAUUUUAAUAUUAUUAUUCGAAUGCCCCUAAACUUUACAAUUUAUUCAAUUUAGUCCAUAAAAUCGAACUUAUCAUAUCCUUCGAAUUUGAAGUCCAAAUUUUAAACCCACUUCAAUUAUAUCCAUAAACAGCCUCCUAUAAUCAUAAUUUAUAAAAAUUUCAUACCAAUUUAAAGAUAUUCACAAUUUAGUCCCUAAACUCAAAACUAACAAAAUUUACUUAACAAACUAAUCCUAUUUCAUUUCUAAGUUUCAAAAUCUAUCAUAAAUAUUCAAAAACUUCAAAUAACGUUAAUGGAAAUUUUUUAAAUCUUUAGAAAUUUUGAAAACGGAGGUACGAGUUAACUAGACCUAGUUGCAACGAUCUCAAAAAUAUAAAAUUUACAAGAAACAGGCUUAAAAAAACUUACCAUGCAAAGAUUUAAGUUUGGCUGAACCUUGAGUGUUGAACAAUGGUGUUUCUAUAUUUUUUUUCUUUUCAGACGGAAGACAAAACAAGGUGAUGAUUUUAUGUUUUCAUGCUUUAAAUAAUUAUUAAUGUUAUUUAAACUAAUUUAACAUAAAAUAAUCAAAAGAAAUAAGCACUAACCGCACAUGGUUUUCCAUUUUGGUCUAUUUGCCAUAUAAGUCUUGACAUAUUUACCAUUUAAACCUUUUAAUUUAUAGAAAUCAAUAACAACUAACUUUUACUAUUUUUUACGAUUUAGCUCUUUCCUUAAUUAAUCAUCCAAACUCUAAAUUUUUUGGACCAAACUUCAAUUCACUAAAAUAAUAAAUCUGUAAAUAUUAUAUAAAAAGUAUUCACAGGCUCGGUUUACAAAAAUGAGGUCUUGAUACCUCAUUUUCAAAAACCAUUUGACUUUCGUUAUGCACCACUUGUACCUUGAUUAACUGACCAAUUAAUAAAAUCUUUUAAAUCAAGAUUCACUAUUACACUAUAUUUAACUCAUAAAUAUUAAUUAAAUAUAUCUAUGGACUCUCUCACCGAAAUUGUGGUCCCGAAACCAUUAUUUCCGAUACCACUGAAAAGCGGGUUGUUACAAGAUAAUAUGUUUAUGUAUGAGUAGUGAAAGUUCAUGUUUAUAAGUCUGAGUUAGUUAUUUGUGAAAAUGGUGUAAGGACCUACCUUUGUGUUUAAGUCACCUCUCAUUGAUUCUGGAAUGAACAAUAUGGAUUGAGAUAUGGAAAUAAAUUCAUGGCGAUGCCUUCAAGGAAAUGAGCAUUAAAUUGGCAGAUUGCUAUACAUGGAAAGGGAUCAUGUUAGCAGAUCGCGAUACAUUGAAUUGGCAGAUUGCAAUACAUGCAAAUCAGGUUGGAAAAUCAUGAUGAACGAAUGUAAUGAAUGCUAAGGCUUGAUCAUGGACUUAGGUGUGUCUAACAUGAAAAAUGUUGUAUGUAUGAUUACAUGGGCGUAGUGUAUGCACCAAAAGUAUAUAGUCUGGCCUGAAGUUUGUUCGUGUUUAGUAUUCACCAAUCGAUGAACUGUAUGACUUGAUGAGUUAGAAAGGUUCACUUGAAUUACAUAUGUUUAUCGAGAUGUUUACUCUAGAAGUCACUAAGUCCUUUGAACUUACUUAGUCUGUAACACUCCUAACCCAAAUCCGUCGCUGGAACAAGGUUACGGAGCAUUACUGGAGUUUACACAUCAAAUAUAAUUAAAUUGUAUCAUUUACUAUUCAUAUCUGAAAUCUAACAUAUUCAAUCAUAAUGUCCCUUACAUGGGCCCUCGAGACCCAAUUUAUGCAUUGGAAACAAGUCGGAACUAGAUUGGGAACUCAGAGAAUUUUUCGUGACAUUUCAAAAUUUUUCUUAGACGCAGGGGACACAUGCCCUUAUGCCCAUGUCCCAGGCCGUGUGGGCAUUCGAUGUGAGGCACACAGCCGUGUCCCAGCCUGUGUCUAUACCCGUGUAACUCUCUAACUUGGGUCACAUGGCUAGCUACACGCCCGUGUGCUAGGUCGUGUGGACAAUUUAAUUUUCAAAAAUUAGGUGUGGGGGACACACGGCCAAACCACACGCCCGUGUGCAUGGCCGUGUGUCACACAUGGUUGAGACACACGCCCGUGUCUUUGCCCGUGUGGACGAAAAAUAAGCCAUUUUCAGGCCAUUUUUCUCACCUAAAUUGCCUUUCACCUACAACCUCAUCCAAACACAUUCUCAAGCCAAUUCAUAACCCUCAAAUCAAUGCCCAUACCGAGUUUUAUUUAUGACAUAUUAUCUCAUAUGUGCAAGUGUUUAAACUUACCAAAAACACAUUUAUGCUUAUAAGCAUACUUUAUCAAUUAUGCUAAUUCAAAACCAUUCAUCAAUAAGUUUGUAUAUCCCAUCAUAUCACCAUUUUAUCACACAUCAAACUUGAUAAAGCUUCAUAUAGUUACAUCAAAAUAUGAUUUACACUAGCCAUUCCAAUGGCUAGUUACAAACAAAAUAUUUCAUCAUUAUGCCUAACUUAGCUUAUACAUGCCAUUAUACAAAAAGCUAGCUUGCAUUAUAUACCGAGACGUCUGAGGAAUAGUGUGAUGUGUCUAUGACCAAAUACAAACCUUCAUGAGCUUCCGAGUACUAUAAAAUAGAGGAAAGAAAAACCAAAUAAGCAUUUAAUACUUAGUAAGUUCGUAUAACAGAAUUUAACUUACCAUUUGUAUUCACUUAAAAUAACAUAGAUAAUACAUUCAAUUCAAUGUAAUCAAUAACCCAAACACACAAACGUCCUCAUCAAACAUGUUAGUUACAUAAUUCAUAUUAAUACCAAGGAAUAUAGAUGAGCUCAUCAAUGUCUCAUUUCCACAUACAUGCGUUUAUCAGUUCAAGUUUAUAAGGAACAUAUACAUGUCAUAUUUUUGCAUAAUAAGUAUUCUCACAGUAUUUCAUCUUGAAUCCAUAUUAUCCCUUACCGGAUUGUUACCCGUUGAAUCAUUUAAAAUAUCGAUGGAUACAUGGGUAGUACACACAAAAUGUACAAUAUGGUAAAUUCAUCAACUCAGAUUCGGGAGUGUUUAUAAAAGCACAAUAAUGUGAAGCUUAUCCGGGCUGAAAUAGGAAGCUCAUAAGAGUCAUAUUUAGGAAGCUCAAGCGAGUCAUCAUUGGGUAGCUCCGAAGAGCCAUUUAUCUGGGAGCUCCGAAUAGCCAUAUAUCAGGAAGUUCAAGCGAGCCAUAUCGGGAAGCUCACAAAGAGCUAAUUAACGUGAAGCUCACGAAGAGCCUAUGAUCAAGAAGCUCAUAAGAGUUAAGGUGUGUCCAAAACACAUGUAGGAUCACAACCUAUCGGAAUGCUCUAAAGAGCUUUAACGAGAAGCUCUCAAGAACCAUAUAAUUGGAAGCUCACAAGAGUUAAUAAUGGGACGCCCUUUCGAACUAUGGUGUGUCUGCAACAUAUGCAAGACUACAACUAAUACGGGAGCCCUGCAUCUAAUAGAUUUUCAUGUAUUCAAAUAGGAUUUUAUAUUUAUCAAGCAUUCUCGGAUUUAUAAUUAAUUUCAUAACAUAUCAAUUAUACAACUCGCAUAUACAAAAUUUCAUUCAAGCAUGUAAAUUUACUUACCUCGACACUUGUUCGUAUACGAGAAUCUACUACUAAUCUGAUACUUUUCAUUUUCCUUGAUUCAGUUCCAUACUAGGUUUAUCCGGAUCUAUACGAGUAAAUUUAACUUAAUUUAAUGAAAUUCAUAUUUAAUUCAAUCAAAUUCAAAUUUUAGGCGGAAGUACCAUUUUGCCCUUAUACUUUUAAUUAAUUCCAAUUUCAUUCCUAGGCUCGAAAAAUGAAAUUCAUGCAAUUUAAUCCUUAUUCCAAGCCUAGCCGAAUUUUUCAUAUAACAAUAACAGUCCAUGUAGUUCAAAAAAAUCAAAAAAUUUCCAUGAAUUUUACAUCUUUUCAAUUUAGUCCCUAAAUCACAAUUUCAUGAAAAUUUCAUUUACAAAAGUUGUUAAUCUAUCAAAAACAUUUCAUUUUCUACCAUAAAUUUCAAAAUUUCAACAUACUCAUUCAUAGAAAAACUUUAAUACUUUGAUAACUUUGCAAAUUGAUCCCCAAAAUUGAUAGAUUAAGUUAUUACGAUCUCGAAAAUGAAAAAUUACUAAAAACGGGACAUGAUUACUUACCCAAUUAAGCUUGCUUGAAUUUCUCUCUCUUAGCUAGGGUUUCCAUAUAAAAAUUUGGGGAAGAUGAUGAAAUAAGAUGAUAUUUUUAUCUUUUAAUUAAUUAUCAUAUUUUAUUUUUCCCCUUUCUAAUUUAGUCAUUUUUCUUUUCUUAAAUUUCUAUGGAUGAAUCAUCAUAAAUGUCUACUAACUUUUCUUAAUGGUCUAUAUACCAUUUAAGGACAUCAAAAUUUUAAUUCCGUAGCUAUUUAAUCCCUCUAGCUACUAGAAUUCAACUUUUGCAUUUCAUGCAAUUUAGUCCAUACUAACAAUUAAACAUGAAAUCGGUAAAAUUUUCUUAUCGAAAUUUUCAUACGUCUUUCCUAUCAUAAUGCAGACCAUGCAAUAAUAUUAAAAUAAAUUUUCUUUCUGACUUGGAUUUGUGGUCCCGAAACCACUAUUCUAAUUUUACUGGAAACAGACUGUUAUAAUUAUCCCCCCAUAAAAAAUUUUCGUCGUCGAAAAUCUUACCAGUAAAGAGGUUCAGAUAUUGCUUUCUCAUUUUUUCCUUGGGUUCCUAGGUAGUUUCUUCUAUCUCGUGUCGUUUCCAAAGAAAUUUUACUAAAGCUACCUUUUUAUUUCUUAACUCUUUCGUCUCACGUGUCAAUAUUUUGAUCGGUUCCACAUUGUAAGUCAUGUCAGGCUGAAUCUCAACUUUUGUUAGAGAAAUAACAUGUGAAGUAUUUUACCGAUACCGUCACAACAUAGACAAGUGAAAAACAUUAUGAAUUCUAUCAAGCUUUGGUGGUAAUGCUAAUCGGUAUGCAACAGGUCAAAUUCUUUCAGUAAUCUCAUAUGGCCCGAUGAACCGUGGGCUCAGUUUUCCUUUACGACCAAACUAAAGAACUUUAUUCCAAUGUGAUACUUUCAAGAAUACCUUAUCACCAACUUGAAAUUCUAUUUCUUUUCGUUUAAGAUCAGCAUACGACUUUUGACGAUCAGAGGCUGCUUUUAAGCUAUUUCGAACCACUUUCACCUUUUCUUCAGUCUCACGGACUAAGUCAACUCCGUGUAUCUUUUUCUCAUUAAGCUCAGUCCAAUACAAAGGAGUUCUACAUUUGCAACCGUACAGAGCCUUGUACGGUGCCAUUUUAAUGCUUGAUUGAUAGCUAUUAUUGUAUGCAAAUUCAACUAAAGGCAGAUAUUUUUCCCAGUUACCUUUGAAUUCCAAAAUACAACACCGAAGCGUAUCUUCUAAAAUUUGUAUUACAUGUUCAGAUUGACCAUCAGUUUGAGGAUGGAAUGCGGUACUGAAAUGUAAUUGUGUACCCAGAGCUUCUUGUAACUUAUUCCAGAAUCGAGAUGUAAACCAAGGAUCUCUGUCUGAAAUAAUGGAGACCGGCACUCCAUGCAGUCUGACAAUCUCAGAAACAUAUAAUUCAGCCAAUCUGUCCAAGGAAAAAUCCAUACGUACUGGAAUAAAGUGUGCAGACUUCGUUAAACGGUCAACGAUUAUCCAAAUGGCAUCUUUCUUUUUCAGAGAUAGGGGUAACCCUAACACAAAUUCCAUAGUAAUUCUUUCUCAUUUCCGCUCUGGUAUCAUAACCGGCUGCAAUAAUCCCGUAGGCACCUGAUGUUCAGCUUUAACUUGCUGACAUAUUAAGCAUUUAGAUACAAAUUUAGAAAUAUCUCAUUUCAUUCCCGGCCACUAGUACAUCUUUUUCAAAUCAUUGUACAUUUUGUUACUUCCUGGAUGAAUAGUCAUAUUACCAUUAUAAACUUUGUUUAAAAUCUUUUGUACAUGUUCUGAAUUCUUCGGUACACAAAUUCUUCCUCUGAAUAACAGACAAUCAUUAGACCCAAUCUGAAAUUCAGAAUCAGAAUUUGACUCACAUUGUACCCGUUUAGCUUGUAAUUCAUCAUCAUUUUUCUAAGCUUCACAAAUUUGCUUUAGAAAUGUCAGUUUAUCUUUUAGCUCAACUGUGAUUGAACCAUCUUCAAAUAAUGACAAUCGGGUAUUCAAUGCUCCUAAGGCAAAUGAAGAUUUUCUACUCAGAGCAUCAGCAACCACAUUGGCUUUUCCCGAAUGAUAAUCAAUAACCAUGUCAUAAUAUUUUAAUAACUCAAGCCAUCUGCGCUGUCUCAGAUUCAAGUCUUUUUGCCACAUCAGAUACUUUAAACUCUUGUGAUUAGUGAAUAUAUGACAUCUUUCACUGAACAAGUAAUGUCACCAAAAUUUCAACACAAACACAAUGGCUGCCAAUUCUAAAUCAUGUAUCCGGUAAUUCUUUUCAUGUGGUUUUAGCUGUCUAAAAGCAUAGGCUAUUACUUUACCUUAUUGCAUCAAAACACAGCCCAAACCAUUCAAUGAUGCAUCACUGUAAAUUACAAAUUCUUUACCUUAUUCAGGCUGAACUAGUACGGUUGCUUCAGUCAAUAAAGUUUUCAAUCUAUCAAAACUCUGCUGACAUUUAUCAGUCCAUUCAAAUUUCACAUCUUCCUGCAAUAAAUGAGUCAUCAGAGAAGUCAUCAGAGAAGUUAUCAUAGAAAAUCCUUUUACAAAUCUCCUAUAAUAUCUAGCUAGUCCUAUAAAACUUCUAACUUCAGACACAUUUUUCGGUGGUUUCCAAUUAACAAUUGCUGAAAUUUUAUCCGGGUCUACUUUGAUGCCUUUAGCAAUACUAUAUGUCUAGGGAAUCCGAAUUCCCGAAGCCAAAAUUCAAAUUUACUAAAUUUGGCAUAAAGUUGUUUCUCACGCAGAUUUUGCAAUACAAUUCUUAGAUGGUUAACAUGUUCAUUUUCAUCUCGAGAAUAUAUCAUAAUAUCAUCAAUAAAUACCAUGACAAUUUUAUCCAGAUACGGUCUAAAAAUUCUAUUCAUAAAUCCAUAAAUAAUGCAGGUGAAUUUGUCAAGCGAACGGCAUCACAAGAAACUCAUAAUGCCCAUACCUGGUUCUGAAGGCUAUCUUUACGACAUCUAACUCUUUUACCCAUAGUUGAUAGUAACCGAAACAAAGAUCAAUCUUUGAAAAUAUAGUGGCACCUUUUAACUGAUCAAACAAGUCAUCAAUACGAGGCAAUGGGUACUUGUUCUUUAUUGUGACUUUGUUGAGUUGUCGGUAAUCAAUACAUAACCUCAAAUAUCCAUCUUGAUUUUUAACAAACAAAACCAGCGCACCCUAAGGUGAGGAACUAGGUCGAGCAAAACCUCUGUCAGUCAAUUCUUAUAAUUAUGCUUUCAAUUCUUUUAAUUCCGUUGGAGCCAUUCUGUAGGGUGCUAUAGAUAUCGGUGUUGUCCCCGAGACAAGAUCUAUGGAAAAUUACACCUCUCUGGCUUGCGAUAAUCCGGAUAAUUCCUUCAAAAACACGUUAGGAAAUUUACAAACAACUGGCAUUGACUUAAUCUUCGAUUCGGAUACUUUAAUGUCCAAUACAUAUGAAAGAUAGGCAUCAUACCCUUUCCUGAUAUAUUUUUGUGCUGACACAGCUGAUAUCACAUUAGACAACCUAUCCAGUUUAUUAGAUUCAAUACGAAACAACUCACCAUUCUGACAUUUUAACACAAUAUACUUUUGCUUACAAUUUACCACGGCCUUAUGCUGAGUUAACCAGUUCGUGCCCAGAAUCACAUCAACUUCAUCAAAUGGCAGUAACAUCAAAUUAGCCAAGAAACAAUAACCCUAUGCCAUUAAUAGAUAAUUUUUACAAAUAAUAUCUACCAUCACAUACUGGCUCAGGGGGUUUGAAACUUUAACCACGAAUUUAGUGGAUCCGACAGAUAAAUUUUUAAUAGAUGCUAAAUUCAUACAUAUAUAUAAAUAUGUUGAACCAGGAUCAAUCAAAGCAGUAAUAUCAGUAUCAAAAAGAGAAAAAGUACCAGUAAUUACGUCGGGUGCAUAGGCAUCCUCACGUGCACGAAUAGCAUAUGUCCUUGUCGGUGCUCGUGCUUCAGGUUUAACAGUUGAAUCUUCUAUCAUACCUUAACUACCAUUGACAUUGCUAAGAUGACAGAGUGGUCUACCUUUUAAGGCAGGAUUACUCGAUUUUGAAGUUAGAACAAUUUCCUUUUCAGGCUUUUCCGGGCAAUCUCUGAGAUAGUGGUCAAGAGAACCACAUCUAAAGUAGGCUCCACUUCUCAUAUGGCACUCUUCGAAAUGUAAUUUCUUACAAUUUUUGCAUUUGGGAUUGGGAUUUCUGAUACUCUCAGUACUUGCUGUAGAUGGGGUCAAAGAUUUCGGAUUGGAACGUUGAGUGCCUCAGUAUCUCCCUGAAUACCCCACAGAUAUGGUAGAACGAUCAUUAUAUUUCUUUUAUUUCUUUGAAGCCGGCGAUUGUGACUUUCCCAUAAAUCUUUUACUUGAAUCCAGGCUUCCAUCUCUGCUUGUCUCUUUUCUUUGCUUAAUUCCUCAGCUUUAUAUGCUUGGUUAACCAAUACAACAAAUCCUUUUAAUUCCAGAAUCCUAACUAACAACUUGAUGUCUUCAUUUAAUCCCUCUUCAAACCGUUUGCACAUAGAAACUUCGGUUGGGACACACUCUCUGGUGUAUUUACUUAACCGAACAAAUUCCCGUUCGUACUCAGAUACAGUCAUAUUUCCCUAUUUAAGCUCUAAAAAUUCUUUCCUUUUCUGGUCAAGGAAUCUCUGGCUAAUAUUUUUUUUUGAAUUCUAUUUGAAAAAAUUCCCAUGUAACAUUUUCUCUCAGUACAAUAGAAGUUAUGGUAUUCCACCACUGGUAGGCUGAGUCUUUUAGUAGAGAUACAACACAUUUCAAACAUUCGUCAGGUGUGCAAGACAAUUCAUCCAGAACUCUGAUAGUGUUUUCUAGCCAAAAUUCAGCCAUUUCCAGAUCAUCUUAACCAAUAGCCCUAAAUUCUUCUGCCCCGUAUUUAUGGAUUUUAUCUACCAAAGGCUUACCAGAUCUAACAAGUUCUAUACCUUGUGGCAUAUCGGGAAACAGUUGAGGAACAAGAGGGGGAGAUUGUUGUACAGUGGGAUUUGUACUCAAGUAUUCAGUGAACCAUUCAUUCAUCAUUUCAAAAAAGGUUUCUUUAGCCUCCUACUACUUGAUGUAGCUCUUUGAACUGAAGCUUGAACAUUGCUCUCAACUUCCUCGGAUUCAGCUCGGUUGGACGGCAUUACUAUAAGAAAAAAAUGUUUAAAUUGAUCAGGAGAUAUCACACUAUCACAAAUUAUAUAAUGGCAUGUAUUAGUUAAACUUGUAUUUGCUAGGUUAGUUCGAGAAUCGGCUAAACCGUGCUCUGAUACUAAUAAAUGUAACACCCUAGCCCAAAUCCGUGGCUAGAACAAGAUUACGGAGCAUUACCGGAGUUUACACAUCAAAUAUAAUUAAAUUGUAUCAUUUACAAUUUAUAUCUAAAAUCUAACCUAUUCAAUCAUAAUGUCCCUUAUAUGGGCCCUCAAGACCUAAUUUAUGCAUUAGAAACAAGACGGGACUAGAUCGGGAACUCAAAGAAUUUUUCACGAAAUUUCAAAACUUUUCUUAGGUGCAGAGGACACAUGUUUGUGUGGCUAGGCCGUGUGGCUCACACGGCCAAGUGACACGCCCGUGUCCCAAGCCAUGUGGGCAUUCGAUGUGAGGCACAUGGCUAUGUCCCAGCCCAUGUCCAUAUUCGUGUAACUCUCUAACUUGGGUCACACAGCCAACCACACGCCCGUGUGCUAGGCCGUGUAGACAAUUUAACUUUCGAAAAUUAGGUGCAGGGCACACACGGCCAAACCACACGCUUGUGCACAUGGUCAUGUGUCACAAACGGUUGAGACACAAGCUUGUGUCUUUGCCCGUGUAGACAAAAAUAGGUACUUUUUAGGCCACUUUUCUCACCCAAUUUGCCUUUCACCUACAACCUCAUCCAAACACAUUCACAAGCCAAUUCAUAACCCUCAAAUCAAUGCUCAUACCGAGUUUUAUGUAUGACAUAUUAUCUCAUAUGUGCAAGUGUUUAAAACUACCAAAAACACAUUUAUGCCUAUAAGCAUACUUCAUCAAUUAUGCUAAUUCAAAACCAUUCAUCAAUAGGUUUGUAUACUUCCCAUCAUAUCACCAUUUUAUCACACAUCAAACUUGAUAACGCUUUAUAUAGUUACAUCAAAAUAUGCUUUACACUAGUCAUUUCAAUGGCUAGUUACAAACAAAAUAUUUCAUCAUUAUGCCUAACUUAGCUUAUACAUGCCAUUAUACUAAAAGUUAGCUUCCAUUAUAUACCGAGAAGUCCAAGAGAUAGUGUGAUGUGUCUCUGACCAAAUUCCAACCUUCACGAGCUUCCUAGUACUAUAAAACAGAGGAAGGAAAAUUCGAAUAAGCAUUUAAUGCUUAGUAAGUUCGUAUAAUGAAAUUUAACUUAUCAUUCGUAUUCACUUAAAAUAACAUAGAUAAUACAUCCAAUGCAAUGCAAUCAAUAACUUAAACACACAAAUGUCCUCAUCAAACAUGUUAGUUACAUAAUUUAUAUUAAUACCAAGGAAUAUAGAUAAGCUCAUCAAUGUCUCAUUUCGACAUACAUGUGUUUAUCAUUUCAAGUUUAUAAGGAACAUAUACAUAUCAUAUUUUUGCAUAAUAAGUAUUCUCAUAGUAUUUCAUCUUGAAUUCAUAUUAUCCCUUACUAGAUCGUUACCCGUUGAAUCAUUUAAAUUAUCUAUGGAUACAUGGGUAGUACAUAGAAAGUGUACAAUACGAUAAAUCUAUCAACUCAUAUUCAAAAGUGCUUAUAAAAGCACAAUGACGAGAAGCUUAUCCAGGCUGAAACAGGAAGCUCAUAAGAGCCAUAUUCAGGAAGCUCAAGCGAGACAUUAAUAGGUAGCUCCAAAGAGCCAUUUAUCGAGGAGCUCCGAAUAGCCAUAUAUCGGGAAGUUCAAGCGAGCCAUAUCGGGAAGCUCACAAAGAGCUAAUUAACGUGAAGCUCACGAAGAGCCUAUGAUCAAGAAGCUCAUAAGAGUUAAGGUGUGUCCAAAACACAUGUAGGAUCACAACCUAUCGGAAUGCUCUAAAGAGCUUUAACGAGAAGCUCUCAAGAACCAUAUAAUUGAAAGCUCACAAGAGUUAAUAAUGGGACGCCCUUUCGAGCUAUGGUGUAUCUGCAACAUAUGCAAGACCACAACCAAUACGGGUGCCCUGUAUCCAAUCGAUUUUUAUGUAUUCAAACGGGAUUUCAUAUUUAUCAAGCAUUAUCGGAUUUAUAAUUAAUUUCAUAACAUAUCAAUUAUACAACUUACAUAUACAACAUUUCAUUCAAGCAUUUAAAUUUACACAAUUUAGUUACACAACUUACCUUGACACUUGUUCGUAUAUGAGAAUUUACUAAUCUGAUACUUUUUUUCCUCGACCCAAUUCCGUAUUAGGUCUAUCCAUAUCUGUAACACCCCGAAUUUUGGGCCUAGAAGAAAUAAGUUUUGAACAAGGGAACAGUUAGGGGACUGCACAUAAAUAUUUAGUUGUGCAAGGAAGUGACACAAAUUGCUUGUUUGCUUUAAUGGCUAAGUGAUUUGGGUGUGUAUGGGAGUGUUUGAAAAGCCUGGGUUCAAGUCUUGACUUUUGCAGAAUUUUUUGAGUUUUGCUUUUAAAUGAAUCUGGACAUUGGCAUAUAGGUCUUAUAUAUAAUAGUGUUUGUUUUAUGACACAAAAAGAGCUUGUGGUUUAGUCGCAAGGUGGCGUGUUGUGUAACUGUGGGGUUUGAGGUUCAAGUCUUGGGUUGUGCAAUGGAGUAUUUAUUUUACUGCUUGAGCUGCGUAGGUAGUGGAGUUGGACUGAAACACACCUAAGGGGAGUUUGAAUGGAAUUUGAAUAAAGUUGUUGGGGGAGUUGAAGAGAAAUUGGUGGAGUGAUUCAAUGAGGGAUAAGGGGAGAGAUUUUAGGAGGAAAUCGUGGAAGUGGGGUGUUGAGGAGUGUGUGUACCGAAUUUGGUCAUUAGGCACUAGGAUAAUCGGUUUUGGGGCUUUUGGGGGGUUGUUUUCUCUCUGUCUGCUUCGGUUUUGGUCAGUAAUCUUUUCACUUUUUGCUUUUGGUGUCGAAUUUUGCUAAGACUUGGUGUACCUCUCGGGUUUGUUUGAGUACUUUUUCUGCUCUUCCCUUUUAUUUUUUUUCUUCUUUCUUUUUAGCAGAAUAGUUUUUGGUUCCCCUCUGCCAAAUUCUCUUUCUUUCUUCCCCUCUUCUUUUUGUUGCUUCUUUUCACUUCUCCACUUUUCCAAACCUUUACCGAAUUGUGUUGAAGUGGUUUCGUGUUGCAUCUUACGUUUGAAUUGCUCUUCUUUCUCAACCCCUUUUUGCACAACUGCAAUAUUGCAUUUCUCUCCUUUUUCAUCUCCUCCAUUUUUCUUUCGGCUUGACAACCAUUCUAUGACGGUUCAAUUUCCUCGAGGAGUAAAGGUGUAGCAAGUGAUAUUAAAAUCGUCGAAACCUUUCUCUCAUUAUUCGAUCAAGGUAAGUAUGUUGUCUAGCAUUCUAGAGUGUUGGCCGAGUGCUUUUGUGGUUCCGUGAGUUGUCAUGUGUGGAUUUAAACGACCUGAAUAAACAAUCUUGUUUAAUAAUCCGUUUGCAAUGCAGAUAUCUGUCAAAGAGAUUGUAGUCAACCUUCGUCAGUGGUAUAAGUGGGCUUAGCCACUUUUAACAGUCGAGGCAAGUAUUAAUUUAGUGUUGGUUAAAGGCGUAAAAGAGUGAGAUUAACCCUAUUGUUUAGCGACUAAUGGAAAGCCUUGUAUGAAUGUAGGUUUUGGGUGCUCUGGAUCUUGGUGCGUUUUCACAAUCAGAUGUGUAAACACUCUAUUGCAAUCAUAGAACCGCAAAAAGCCGAAAAGUUGAAAAUACGGCAUUUGAGACCACAUAGGCGUGUGAUCGCUCGUGUGGUAAGCCUAACCCGCGAAACAUGGGCGAUAGACUGUAGAGGCCUCCAUGAGCUUUUUCAUUAGGUCGUAGUGGGCCAAAAUGGGCAGUGUGGGCUCAAAGGGCUUGUGAGGCCCAUAGGGAUAAAAUCCAAUUAUUGUGGCAAAUGCUAGGACUAGGCGAUAUAGAUCUCAUAGGCGUGGUGAAAUCUGGGCUGAACAGGCCGUACGAGCGUGUAGGCCCACUUGGAUCGAGUAAUGGGCCUUAGGCCCAUUUAAGGGUGAGCAAAACUCGAUUCGACUCGAAAAAACCAAAAAAAUCUCGAAUUUCGAGUUAAACGAAUCGAGUUAUUCGAGCUAAUCGAGUUUUGAAUCAACUCGAUUUUUUUUUCAAAUUUCGAGUUCAGAUCGAGUUGAGUUUUCGAAUUCGAAUAACUCGAAUAAUUCGAAUAUCAAACUAUAAUAUUUUACAUUUUUACCCUAAACUCCUAAACCUUUUCACUUUUCCCUCAAAACUUUUACUCAUUCCCACUUCCCCCCCCAAAACUUUUACUCCCCUCCCCUCCCAACUCCCCAAUCUACCCAAAAUCCAUUUCCCACCAAAAUUUUACUCUCCCAUUUACUUUUUCUCAAAAUUUUACUCCCAAAAACCCUCAAAACCUUUUAUUUUCCCCCAAAACUUUUACUCCCUCCCACUUUUUCUCUAAAACUUUUAUUCCCUUCCCAUCCCACCUCUCAUCUACCCCAAACUCUCCCCCCUCUAAUUUUUUUAAUAUUUUCCCUCCAAAAUUUUACUCUCCCCUAUUUACUUUCCCUCAAACUUUUAUUCCCACAAAAUUUUUAUUUUCCCCUAAACUUUUACUUCUCACCCUUUACUCUCAAAUAAAAAAUCAAAAUUAUCCAAAAAAAAUCACUAAACAUAAAUAGUAAUAAUUUUAUUUAUAUCUACUAUUUAUAUUAUUAAAUUAAAUUUCACAUUUUAUAUUAUUUAUAUUAUUGAAUUGUUUAGUCAUAUUGAAUAUUUAUAUUAAAAUUGAAUUAUUAAUUAUGCCAUAAAAUAUUCGUGUUAAAAUUUUAUAUUGGUAUCAAUUUUACAUUUUAUUUUUAAAAUAACUUUUAUUAAAAAAAAUCAUAUUUUUACAUUUAAUAUAUUUUUUAAUUCCAAAAUUUGAAGAUAAUUGAAACAACUAAGCAAGCAAAGAAACUAACCAAUAUAUAAAAAAUUAAUAAAUAAAUUAUGAGGUGAUGAAAGUUAAUAAAAAAUUUGAUUAAGGUGGACAAAUUUUAUUACGAUGGGUGACAGUGGUUACAAGGACCCAAAAUUAUUUUUUAAAAAUUUAACUCGAACAAAUAUAUUCGAUUCGAUUCGAUUCAAAUUCCAUCUCACUCGACUCGAUUCGAGAAAACUUCAAAUAAAGUUAGGAUGAUAAAAUGAGAUUCGAAAACUCGAUUAACUCAAAAAUUUUUGAUUCGAUUCAAUUCAAUUCGAUCGAAUGCUCACCCCUAGGCCCAUUUACACUAUUAUGACCAUUUAGGUUACCUGAGUCACUCGAGGCGACUGCGGACCUUUCGAGAGGUCGAUAUCUGCAUCGAUACCCUCAUAAGGUAAAAUGAUCGAAAUAUCCUCAUAGGGUAAAAUGACUGAAAUACCCCCAUAGGGUAGAAUGAUCGAAAUACCCCCAUAGGGUAAAAUGACUGUUAUACCCCUAGGAGAUGAAAUGGUUGUUAUGGCCCUAUGUUAUGUAUGACUGAUUUGCUCUAUGAUAUGUAUGACUAUGAUUGAGCAUGACAUUUUGCAUACAAGUAUGAUAUUAUGUCACGAUAUUUUGCAUGGGGAUGGGUUGUUAUAUUUGGAGGAAGUGUAUCGUAUUGAUAAGGUUGCACGGGUCACCUAAGACGACUGUGGACCUACUGAUGGCUAUAUGUCGUUUAUUUUACUGGCAGCUUUGCUGCAAUAAUGUUUAGUGCCGCAACCGGUGCUAAUCUUGGUGUGUCUGGCUGGGUGGGUCGAUUUUAUCCCCACAUAGUGUCUUUGGCGGGACGGAGUGGUGUGUAGUGGCUGGAUUGGGGCGGUCAAUAAAUGAUCAAAAUACCUUCAUAGGGUAAAAUGACAGAAAUACCCCUAUAGGGUAAAAUGAUCGAGAUGCCCCUAUAGGGUAAAAUGAUCAAAAUACCCUCAUAGGGUAAAAUGAUGAAAAUACCCUCAUAGGGUAAAAUGACCGAAAUACCCCUAUAAGGUAAAAUGACCGAAAUACCCCCAUAGGGUAAAAUGACCAAAAUACCCCCAUAGGGUAAAAUGAUUGUUAUACCUCUAGGAGAUGAAAUGACUGUUAUGGCCUUAUGUUAUGUAUAGCUAAUUUGUUUAUGAUAUAUAUAUGACUGUUACUGAGUAUGACGUUUUGCAUACACGUAUGAUUUAUGACAUGACAUGCUGCAUGGGGUUGGGAUACUAAUAUGGGGGAAGUGUACUGAACUGGUGGCUUUGCCACAUAUAUUGUUACUGGCAGCUUCGCUGCAAUACUAUUACGGCAUCUUUCCUGCGAUAUUGGUGUGUUGGCUCGGUGGGUCAAUUUUAUCCCCACAUGGUGUGUUGGUUGGAUUGGGAUGGGAUGGGUUGCAUUAUGGCAUUGUACUGUUACUGUAUUGGGCUAAGGCCCACAUUAUUACUGUACUGGGAUAAGGCCCACACUAUUACUUUAUUAGGUUAAGGCCCACACUAUUAAUUUAUUGGGCUAAAGUUCACACUGUUACUGUAUCGGGCAAGGCCCACACUAUACUGAUGCUGAAUAGGGCUUGGGCCCAGACUGUUACUGCAUGUUGUAUGCUGACUGUUUGGUAGAGGAUUACACACUGAGUUUCGUAAACUCACCCUCUUCUUUUAACUGUGCAAGUAAUCCCUAGCCAUAAACGAUUCGGUGCUGCGAGGGACUUGGAGGUGGCCACACAACUGUUGUUGUUUACACUUGCUCUUAUUUUUAUUCAUUUUAUAAGUUGGGUUUUGCUUUUGUAAUAAGGCCCUUAAGUUGGUUUAAAUUUUUAAUUGGGCUUUUACUUACAUAUUUUAAACUGCUAGAUAGGAGAAGAAGAAUUUUUAAAAUAACUACUUAUUUCAAAGACACGAGUUUUAAACAAUGGAAUUUAAAGAAAUAAAACUUCCGUGAUUUUAGACCAACUUAUUAAAACAAUAUCAGAUAAUAAGACAAACGUUUUGUCUAGUUGAUUUGUUAGAUAAUUAAUAAAGGGGUUAAUUUUAAGCUUAGAAACAAAUUUUUACCAAUGAGUUAAAUUUUUGAAAGACAUUUCAAUGACACGUCAGAUUCGACCAUAACAUCUAGGUCGGGUUUGGGGUGUUACAGGAUCUAUACGAGUAAAUUUAACUCAAUUUAAUGAAAUUCAUAUUUAAUUCAAUCAAAUUCACAUUUAAUCCUUAUUUAAUCCUUAUUCCAAGCGUAGCCAAAAAUUUUCAUAUAACAAUAACAGUCCAUGUAUUUCACAAAAAUAAAAAAUUUUCCAUGAAUUUUACAUCUUUUCAAUUUAGUCCCUAAAUCAUAAUUUCAUGAAAAUUUUCUUUACAAAAGUUGUUUAUCUGUCAACAAACUUUUAUUUUCUACCAUAAAUUUCAAAAUUUCAGCAUAGUCAUCCAUGGAAAAAUUUUAAUAAUUUGAUAACUUUGCAAAUUGAUCCCGAAAAUAGAUAAAUUAGGUUAUUACAAUCUCGGAAAUGUAAAAGUUACUAAAAACGGGACAUGAUUACUUACCUAAUUAAGCUUGGUUGAAUUUCUCUCUCUUAGUAGGGUUUCCAUAGAAAAAUUUGGGGAAGAUGAUAAUUUUAUCUUUUAAUUAAUUAUCAUCUUUUAUUUUUCCCCUUUUCUAAUUUAGUUCUUUUUCUUUUCUUAAAUUUCCAUGGAUGAAUCAUUAUAAAUAUCUACUAACUUCUCUUGACGGUCUAUUUGCCUUAUAAGGACCUCAAAAUUUGAAUUCCGUAGCUAUUUAAUCCCUCUAGCAACUAGAAUUCAACUUUUACAUUCCAUGCAAUUUAGCCCUUACUAACAAUUAAACAUGAAAUCGGUAAAAUUUUCUUAUCAAAAUUUUCAUACGUCUUUCCUAUCAUAUUGUAGACCAUGCAAUAAUAUUAAAAUAUUUUUUUCUGACCUGAAUUUGUGGUCCCAAAAUCAUUAUUUCGAUUUCACUGAAAACGGGCUGUUACAUAGUUACCUUUCCUUCUCAGGACUGCUGACGAGGUAAAGGACUUUCAAAGACUACACUAGUGGGCAAUUACUGUCAUGAGAUUUCUAAGUAUUUUGUAUUAUGUAUAACAUGGGGCUGGUGUCAGAAUGGUGUCAUUUGAAGAACGAACUUUUGUAUAUUUAAGUUAUUACUUUUGAAACUGUGAAUUCGAUGGAACCUUAGUAAAGUUAUUAUGUUUUUGCAAAGCAUCGAAUUAUUUACUUCGAAUGAUUAAUGCUUGUCUGAUUAUAUAUAUACACGAUGUUGUAGUUAAAUUGUGGUUUACGAUCAAUUAGAGUUCUAAGGACUUUUAGCGAAGCUUCUAUGUUUUGUUUGGAAGUGAAUAACCUUAUUUAUCUUUAGUAUCCCAAAUGUUUUACAAUUCAUAUUUAUUUGAAUUGUAUUUUUAUGUGAUCCACGUCUGUACAAUUUUAAAAGAAAAAGAUUUUAAGGCGGUGAUGCACUAAUCUUGGGUCCUCCUUAAGGAUUAGGUUUGGGGAGUUACAAUUUCAUAAAUUCUUAUAUGAGUAAUAUUUUAAAAAUUUAACCAUCAUAUUUCAUGAUCCAUUCCUAUGGAUAAUGCAUAUCAAGUUUGGCAUAAAUUAAAAAUGGGAUGAGAAAUUACCCUAUACUUUACCAAAUAUUCCAAUAUGGUACUUACAAUUUUAGUUUGUCCAAUUUGGCACCUGUACUUCAAUCUUGUUUAUCAUAGUGGUACUUGACCCUAACGCCAUUAAAAAAUAGAUGAAAUAACAUGAUGACCAAUUAGGUGGUGCCCCGUGGCAAAUGUUGACUUAUUGACUAAUAGUUCAAGGGCUUCUUUACAAUAAAUCCUAAAAUUAUUUUCUUUCCCAAUUUAUAUUUUUUUCACGUGAUUUUCAAAAUAAAACACUUCUUUCACAUUUUUACCCGAAAGCUUAUUAUUUUCCUUUUUUCUUUUCUUUUGUUUCUUUUCUUUUUCAACCCUAGUUGCUGCUACUACUGCCCUUGGCCUCCUUCCAACUCGAAAAUGGCACGAAGUGUUGCUCUUCAUUCUCUCUUUCAUUUUGUCCAAUACGAAAAUGAACGCUCUCAACCCGACCUGAUUCACCGGGUUUAGAUCUUGGUGUUACUACACACGAUGCUUAACAAAAUAUCAAAAUCAUUAACAAACACUCCUUACUUAAAACAUUUUUCUUAUUAUUUUAACUAGAAAUAAUUAUUAAAAAAAUCUCAUUACAACUCAUUCUAGUAUAAAAUUUUGUUAAAGACAAACUCUUAGGACAUAACUCUACAAUAUGCCACAUUUCCAUUGUAUGCAUAAUAACCCAAUUCGUCGCUUCCUUGGUGCAUUCCUAACGUCAUCCCACCAGACGCAUUCUACCACGCCAUCUAAAAUAGAAACAUAAAAUUUAUAAGUUUAGAAAAACUUAGUGAGAGUUAACACAAAAAUACCUUAGUGAAUACUUUAGAAGAUUUGAUAUACAUUGGUGCAUCAACUAUCCUUCUAUACUUUUUACUUUUGUAUUGGGUGGAUACUAAUAUAGUUUUAGCAUAUACUUACAUGCCAUAAAUUACACUUUUAACUUUCCAAAUUCUCUCUAACUAAUGGACUUAGGAACCUUCCAAAUAUUUCAUUAAUCUCUUCUUAUAAACACUCAUUUCAGAAUGACCGAUUACAAAUACUAUUCAUUAGUGGAUUCUUACACGAUUGACUUCCAUUAGUUUUCCAACCAAAACAUAUCCUUGAUCGAUACCUUGUAAGCUUGCACUGAUGUUGAACCAUACAGAACAUUCAGAUGAAUUCCACAGUUAUAUUAUCGAACCUCAGAUGCCUAAAAUAACAAUGACUCAUACUCCAAAUGUUUCAGAAGAAUAUGUGACAUUAAUUGAUCUUGGCGGAUAAUAAAACUCAAAUUGACUAUUCCUUAUGUCUUUCAUCACCAUGAAUAUAACCAUUUUCACAUUAGAAGAAUAUCGUGGAAAAUAUUCAUAUUUAACACAUGUAUCUACACUUCUUUCCAAAAACUUUUCUUUAAACUUAUUCAGUCACUAUCCAGAUCAAAUUCAACAAAACAAACUUCACAGAAUAUGUAUACUAUGCAUAUCAUAAUAUGCAAAACUUGCCAUACGAACAGAUGUUCACAUCAUAAUAUGCAUACUUGGCAUAGUACAUCUUAAGAGCUAAACAGAUUACGCCGCAAGAGUAACAAACAAAACACGCCACAAAGGCGUCAUAUAGAGUCACGUGUUUAUUGUCUUGGCGAACUUCACAGAAUGAGCCAUGAGUUGCUAUCUCAUGGACUUAUACAUAAAUUCAUGUAUCGUGAGCUGGGAAUUUGAUUUACACAUUUCAAAGGCUACACCAUGAACAUUCAUACAGGCAUAUCUUGCCAUGCGUUUUAACCACAUGGUCUUACACACAUUCAUGUAUCAUGAUCUUCCAAUUCGAUUAACACAUUUUGAAGGCUACACCAUGAACAUUCAUAUAGACAUAUCUUUCCAUGGGUCUUGACUACAUGGUCUUACACACAUUCAUGAAUUGUGAUACACCAAUCCAACCUUCAUCUUACUAGAGGUUUCAACAUGAGUGCUUCAAUAUCAUUUUAAGAUGCCAUGGGUCUCAACCUCAUAGUCUUACACUUGUUUUCAUAACGUGAUCUGCCAGUCUAGUUAGCAAUAUAACUGCCCUACCAGAGGCAUCACAAAAUAACAUUUGCUCAGCAUUCACUUACCUAGGUUUCUUCAUAUCUUUGACAAAUUCGUACCUUUGCUGCACCAAACUAUAAAUGCACACUUAUCCAUUAACAUACUUUUCUAAACCAACUCCCUAUGUCAUCGUGAAACGUAUAUCAUUUUUAUUCUGCUACUUACCUUCUUUCGAUCAUGAGAGGCAUCAUUUUUAGUUAGAUAAAUUUUUUAUUUGAAUAGUACACAUACAAGAGUCAGGGCAAAGACUCACCAGUAACUCACCCACUGUAGUUCAAAGCCCCAAAUUCAUCCAUCUUUCUCGAACCAACAACAACAACUGCUUAAAAAACAUAAAUUCACUAUUAAAACUCUUAUACAUACACUUUACUUAUUAUCCCAAUCUUUGACAAUCUCAUACAAAACCUUUUUCUUACAAAGUUACUAUUCAUAUACCUCUUACAGACUUACUCAUUCAAAACAACUAACAUGCAAAACUAAAAUACUUACCCUGAGAUGGAAUAACCACUAAUUAGACCAAGAACCUUAGCUUCCAACUUAAUGAGGAAAAAAUACCAUUGAUUUAUAGAAGAAGAAUCAAAUAAUAACAUACUCUAAAAAAAAGAAAAAAUCCCUAUAGAACUCUUUUCUCACACAAAUAUAUGACUUAUCUUACUUAGUGGAACUUAACAAGUGUCACACAUUUUCAGAGUUGUCCUCCUUAAUGGUCUACAGUUUUUGAGAAAAACAUAAACGAGAAUUCUAUAUAAUAAAUAUCAAACCAGUCUAUCCAGUUGCUUCCUAACCAGAUUACUUUACAAUCUAACUAGCACAGUACUUCCGACUAACAGGGCAUAGUAUACCUUUGGUGUUAUCUCAUACCAUAAUUAUUUUUUUACUUAACAAUAUUAUUUCUCUUCAACUAGUAGAAUAAUCUGAAACAGAACUUUCACCUAUUUAUACGAUAGUUACUAUAUGCCAAAAAUAACAGAUGGGCGGAUAACACUUUGCCAAACAGAUUAUUUCUCUACUAUACACCAAAAUCUUUGACUUGCCAACUUUGGGGUGUGACAGACAAACUUUCCAAAAGCCAUGAAAUACCUUUAAAAUUUUAAACUUUUCUAAUCCUGAUCUAAAGAUCCGACAGUUCAGAAACCAUGUAACUUUGACCACGGUCUCUCGUUGGCAUGAUGAACCUUUCACCACUCAGAUAUUUCAAUUGAUCCCAUGAAACUCAAGUUUGAAAGUGGGGUUUUUUACUCUCUCUUUUUAAAAAAAAAAAGCCCUCCUCUCUAUCUAGUUCAAUCCUCUCCCCAAGUCAAGUAUAUAUCAUAUUGUAAUUGCAUGUUUAAGCUUCUUCAUUGAAUGUCCCAAACAAUUUUUGUAUCUUCAAUGAAUUAGGUUCUUCAUUUUGUUCGUUUGUUUUUUACCUAAAAUUAAAUCUACAUAAAUAAAAAGAUACAUUAGGGGCAUAAGAUAAUUUAAAUAUAAAUAUUUCUAAUUUAUCUUUAAUAAAUACUCUCUUUAUUCACAACAUAAAUACUAAGUAAAACUACAAAUGUGACGUGUCGUCAAACUUGAUCUGUAUGCAUAAUAGCUCGAUACUCACACCUUGGAGUAGUCCUGGCAUCGUCCCUCCGAGCAUAGGCUUACUUUGUCUUUCCUGGAACACAAUGCACAAGAUAAGUUAAUGGGAACUUAGUGAGAGAAACAUCAUUUACCUGAGUAAAACUUGCACAUUGCAACUGAUGUAUCAUAAUAACGACCUUAUCAUUCUUAACCUUUAAUCUUGUCUCGGGCAAGUACAUCUUCGAAUUCUAUUCUCUUAUACACAUUAGAUACCAUACCUUACUCUGAAAUCAUUUAUUCCCAUCAGUGUCUUCGUUACAUCAUUUACAAUCUUCAAUCUUGGAGCCAUCAUAUCAUCACCAUUCAUAAAUGAACACGUACACUGAUUACAGAUACCUCAUUCGAUCAUUCAAGUUUAAAGCCUUAUUCAAUACACACUUUCAAUACAAACUCAUUACCUCUCUAUAUCUCUUCAUUUUCUUAAUUUCAAUCGAAUCAUGGUCUUAUAUAAUACUUUACUAAUUACAAUUAUGAGCCAUAUUGAACGCGCCAAAUCAACUUAAUACUAACCCCGCCUCAAAGAAUAGUCUUUACAGUACGACACUAAGAGCCUUAUUUCAAUGCGCCACAAAAGCAUUUUUUUCGGAGUUUGCCAUAACAGUUAUUCUUUCAGGGUACGCCAAAAAGGCAUUUCUUUCAAAUUAUCACCACGAGGGAUAUUCUUUCAGAGAUUUCCACGAAGGCUAUUCUUUCAUAAUUUGCCACAAAGGUUAUUCUUUCCUUUCGUGUUUACGAUAUGGAUUUUCCUAGACUUACAUUACGUGAGGUUUACCCAUCAUUGUUCUUGGACACACAAAGAACCCCAUUGGGUAAUCUCCAUCCUUUAGUUCUUUUUCAGAGGGUGACAUUUUCUUGGCUUAAUAUACAUGUAAGGUUAUCAGUCCAAGCUAAACCUUUAAAAUGAUAAUAGAUUACCAGUCUAGGCUAAAUCUGCGUCACAUGUAUCUUCAAGUCCACAACAAAUGCUAGAGCUCAUAUUCAACCAGAUUCAUUUCACAAACAAUUCAUGCAAUGAAAUAAACUAAGCACAAUCACCCAAAUUCACUAAUCUACAAUUAGCAUAACACACAUCUCAUAACAUACAUUCCAAACAUCCAGAUACAACUAUACUUCACAUUACAUUACUCAUACCUCAUUCAACUCAUGCUUAAACUCAUCAAACUGUGUACCAGCUAUAUUUAAAAUAAUCAACUAACAUUCAUACAAUCAUAGAUAUCCCUAGAAAUCAUUCAUAUGAUCUCUUACCUUGCCUACUAUACCUUUCAUGAUUUUGACACCACCUUUCGCUCAGUUUCCACGGAUAUCAUGGUGAUAACAGUACUCAUGUAAGAGUCAGGUUAGAGACUCACUUAACAACUAUGGAUAGCAGUUUGAACUCCAAAUUCAUCAUCCAACAAGAAACCAUGGUAAUCACUACUUAUAAAACAUAAGAAUACCAUUAAAACUCAUUCUUAUAACCUUUACCAUAAUCUCAAACCUAGAUAACCCUCAUAUAAAGCCUUAUUUCUUCAUUUUACUAUUAUGCACUCUUACAGACUUAAUCUUUCAUAACAUAACAUGUAGAGUCGUAAAUCUUACCUUAACAUGGAGAAAUCACUAAUAAAGAUCUAGAUCUAUAACUCCAGCUUAAAAAGAAAGAAAUACUUUAGGUUCCUUAAUAUUCAGAUAGCAAUACUUUAAAAGAAAGAAGAAAAAUUCCCCCUUUCUCUAACCUAAAUAUUUAUAUAUAUAACCUAAGCCCUUAUUGAAACUUGACACAUGUCACAAACAUUCAAAACUGCCUUUAUAAAUGGUUUACAACUAUGAAAAUCCAAUAAUUUUUAUAUUUUCUGGCUCAUCUAUUCAAUUAGUUUCCAACCAAAUCAUUUAUAACGUAAUUAGCAUAAUAACUCAAUGAAUUUGGCAUACAAUACCUUUGGCGAUAACCCCAACUUACAAAUUCUUAAUACCCUUACCAAACUCUUUUUCUUUAUAACUCAACACAUUCUGAGGUAAAUCCUUAAUUAAUAUCCUAGCGUUUACUAUGCGCCUGAUCUGUACACCAAAACAACAAUUGGGCGGAUAUAAUUUCAUCUCAUAGAUUACUCUUAGUCUACUAGCCAAAACUUAGGACCCGCCAAAAUUGGGUCUUACAUACAUUCUUCUAACAUAAAUGAUAUAACUAUGUAAUUUAUUUUGAUAGAAUCAUAUAUUUAAUUAUAUUUUUACCUAUUAACCUUGUAAUCUAAUGAAAUCUCAUGUUUGAAUUUAAAAGCUAUGAAUAUUUUACAUAUCAUGUUAGAGUUAUAAGUUUUAGCAAGCCUUCCUAGUUUUUAUGUUUCCAAACUAACCAUUUGUAUGAAGCAUGUUCAAGGGACGUCUUUUUGUUUGCAUGUGAUUAUUUUGUUUGCUUGAGGACAAGCAAUGAGUUAAGUGUGAGGGAAUUUGAUCUGUCACAAUUCUUUGUGGCAAAUUAAACUUUUUUCAUCACUUAAUGAGCUUGUGUUCAAGUGAUUAUAUCUUUUUAUUCCAUUUUUAGAAUUAGUUAGUUUUGAAUUUAAGUUUAAUAAAAUGAGUUUUUAGUGUUGUUUUAUGACCUGUUAGGCCAAUUUGGGCCUAAGGAGAAACUAACAUGUUGAUUAAGUGUGCAGGAUAAUAUUUUUGGCCGAUGAAUCAGUGGACUACCCUAGAUAUUGCAACAUUCAAAAGGGAUGUCAGGACAACGAAGCAAGCUUCAACACUUAACAGAAUUUUGAAUAAAACUCUAAGAGGUGAGCUACUGGAGAUGAUAUCACGACAUCCAACUUUGAAUCCGAUAAGUGAGCUACUGGAGAUGAUGUUACGAUACCCAUAAACCAAAGUCACGACAACCAACUUCGAGUCCAAAGGGGGAGCAUACUGCCAUCAAAGUCACGACACUAGCUAUAGAGUGUCACGAUAUUGAUCCGAUGAGGCCCAUUUGACUACCAGGGGUGUUUUUCAUUCGCACAAUCAUAAUUAACAUGUUACACAAGUUAUAAUUGACCUAAUUUGGCAAUCUAACACAAACACUAUAAAUAUUAACUUUUAAAAUUUGAUUAGGGGGUUUAGUUCAACAUUCAAACAUUAGAUUUCUAUUCUUAGUUAGGGUUUAGUUUUGUUUUCAAUUUAAAUCAAGAUCUUUGAAUUCUGAGCAAUCUUUUCUCUCUUCUCUUUAUUUUUGCAUCUAUUUGCAUGUUUAGGAAAUUGAUAGGAGAGUUUGCAUCUAAAAUGACCUAGAACUAAACCCUAGGAAAGUUGAUGAUAAGAAAGUGGGAUUGAUUAGCUUGGGUUAGGGGUUUCACAUCUAGUAGCUAAAUUAGGUUAAGUGGAUUAAACCAUAAAAUUGAUGAUUUUAGGAAGUCACUUAGGUAGAUGAGGCCAAAAUGAUAGUUUACUUAGCACCAACAUAAUCUAACCAGGUUUAAUUUAUCAUGUUGAAAGAUAUGUAAAUUAAAUAGAUCAAUUAAUCUAGUUAUAGGUCGAAAGGUAUUAAUUAGGUUAGUUGUUAGCUAAUUAGUGAAAAACCCUAUAUCUAAGUUAAUCAUGAACAUGGAAGUGAGUUACCCUUCUGUCUGCUUUAAUUGAUUAUGAUUUUGAUUGCUAUUCCUUUAUCCUGCAAACCAUCUUGUUUUUAUUUUGCCCUAAUUUGAUCUAGACAUGAGUAGUACUUAAACCUAAUUAGUGUGUUAAUUAUUGUUGUCAGAUUAGUUUAAACAAACCUCCGUUAAGGGCAAUUUCAAGUGGGAUAUAGUUUGGGAGGAUUGGGUUUUAAUUGGUAUUUCAGUUUAGUGUUUGUUUCUUGAGAAAUUACCGGUAAUGAAUAAGGUAUGAGUGAGAGAGUUCGCAUUAGGAAAACAAACGUAUACACCGAUAAAGAAACAAUACACGUGAGAAUAAAAGAACACACACGUUGAUAGUAGGGGUGAGCGUUCGAUUGAAUUGAAUUGAAUGAAAAAAUUUCGAGUUAAUUGAGUUGACGAAUCCUAUUUUAUCAUCCUAACUUGAUUUAAAAUUUUCUCGAAUCGAAUUGAGUCGACUCGGAUAUAUUUGUUCGAGUUAAAUUUAAAAAAAUGACUUUAGGUUCUUAUAGCCACUGCCACCCACCUUAAUCAAGUUUGCUCACCGUAAUCAAAUUUGUUAUAAAAUUUCAUCUCUUCACAAUUUAUUUAUUAAUAUUUUAUAUACUGGUUAACUUCUUUGCUUGCUUAGUUGUUUCAAUUAUCUUAUGAUUCUUGCCAUUAUGCAUUUUGAAAUUAAAAAAUAUAUUAAAUGAAAAAAUGUGAUUUUUAAAAAAAAAGUUAUUUUAAGAAUAAAAUGUGAAAUUGAUAUCGACAGAAAAUUUUAACACGAAUAUUUUAUGAUAUUGUAAAUAAUUCAAUUUUAACAGAAAUUGAUUAAUAUUCAACAUGAAUAACAAUUCAAUAAUCCAAAUAGUACAAAAUGUGAUAUUUAAUUUAAUAAUAUAAAUAGUAGACAUAAAUUCGAAAAAAAAAGUUUUAGGGGUUUGAGAGUAAGUAAAAUUUUUUAGGGAAAGCAAAAUAAAAAAGAAAAUCAAGGCUUGGAGGAAAUAAACGUUUUGGAGAGAAAGUAAAUUGAAAAAAAGUUUUGACGGUUUGGAGUUUGGAAAAUGUUUUGGAGAGUAGGUAAAAGUUCUCUAAGUAAAAUGGAAAAUGUUUUGAAAGUUUGGAUGAAGUAAAUUUUUUUGAAAAGUUAGAGGGUUCGAAAGGAGGUGGGGGAAGGGAAGUACAAAUAUUUGGUACUUGAUUUGUUCAAAUUAUUCAAAUUUGAAAAUUUAACUCGAUUCAAAUUCGAAUUUAAAAAAAAUCGAGUUAAUUCGAUUAAUUUAAUUAAUUCCAUUAGAUUAAUAUGAAAUUCAAACUUUUUUCGAGAAUAGAAUUUUGCUUAAUAAAUAUCUUGUUAUAUUCUCAAAAGGUCAGGGGUAUUAUUGGUUUUCCAACAUGAAGAGAAUGUCAAAUUAACGUCUAAUCUGAGAUGUCGGUCGUGACCCGUUGGAUUAAAUGCAAUCCGACGGAUGAGAAAGAAACCCUAGUUGAGCCAAAGCUGAGAGUGUGGCUGGCUACUUAAGUUAGAGCAGCCUGCUGCUCUCGCCCUCUCUUUCUCUCACUCAACGCUCUCCUUCUGUUUCUGGUCAAGCCAAUCUCAAAAGACUCCCCUUUUAGCUCACAGGUAGUAACCCAUUUAGAACUUAAGGUUAUCUCUCAAAUGUUAUUGCUUUGAUUCGAAGAAAAACGUGGUCUGAUUUGUUGGUAGCUGAAAUGUUAUAUCUGAUUUGCUGAAAUGGUUCUCAUGCGAUUAACUUUUUGCGUGUAGUUUCGGAUCUGAUUCUUUGUUUUUUUUGGUUGUUGUGUUUUUAGAUUUCAUUCAUGCAUGUACGUUUUGAACUCUGAAAUUUAUUUUUCUGAGCAAAUAAUUCUUGUGAUAACUGGUUUAUUGAAGCAAAUGCUGCCUAAGGGAAAUUUUUUAACGAAAAUAAUUAAAAUUGUCGGGGAUUAUUUUCUUAGGCUCGUUUGUCUUCGAUGGACAUGUUUGACUGGCUUCAUGGGAAAGGAUAAGCUAAGAUCUAGUGGCUGUAGUUCAUUGGAAUGAACUCCAUAUCUAUGGAGGAACUGGGCUCGAAUCCCAGCGGCCACGUUUUAUCAAUGUUGGAUCUGUUGAAUUUAAAUGUGGCUUGAUUUUCUUUUUAGAAAUUGACUUGAACUGUUCUUCGUAAACAAUAAAAGUGGGUCCCAGAUUCAUUGUUUCUUGUUCACAAGAUGUUGGUCUUCUUGUGUGAUUUUGACUUGGAAUUAUGUUUUGAGCUUAUUUUAUGAAAAUGUUUCUUCUCGAUUUUUAGCUCCUCUCUUGAGUACUAUAAUGGGUAAGGAGAAGGUUCACAUCAACAUUGUGGUCAUUGGCCAUGUCGACUCUGGGAAGUCUACAACCACUGGUCAUUUGAUCUACAAGCUUGGUGGUAUUGACAAGCGUGUGAUUGAGAGGUUUGAGAAGGAGGCUGCUGAGAUGAACAAAAGGUCAUUUAAGUAUGCAUGGGUGCUUGACAAGCUUAAGGCCGAGCGUGAACGUGGUAUUACCAUCGAUAUUGCCCUCUGGAAGUUUGAGACUACCAAAUACUACUGUACUGUCAUUGAUGCCCCUGGACAUCGUGACUUCAUCAAGAACAUGAUUACUGGUACCUCACAGGCUGACUGCGCUGUUCUCAUUAUCGACUCGACCACUGGUGGUUUCGAAGCUGGUAUCUCAAAGGAUGGUCAGACCCGUGAGCAUGCUUUGCUUGCGUUUACCCUUGGUGUCAAGCAGAUGAUUUGCUGCUGCAACAAGGUAAGGUUUAGAACGUGUUGGAGUUUAUUGUUAGAUUGUAUUGAUGUUCUUUUUAUCAAUAAUGGAAUUUCAAUUAUCAUCUUGUACAGAUGGAUGCAACAACUCCAAAAUACUCCAAGGCAAGGUAUGAUGAAAUUGUGAAGGAAGUCUCCUCAUAUCUUAAGAAAGUUGGUUACAACCCUGACAAGAUACCAUUUGUCCCAAUCUCUGGAUUUGAGGGUGAUAACAUGAUUGAGAGGUCUACCAACCUUGACUGGUACAAGGGUCCCACUCUCCUUGAGGCUCUUGACCAGAUCAAUGAGCCCAAGAGGCCUUCAGACAAGCCGCUCCGGCUCCCACUUCAGGAUGUCUACAAGAUUGGCGGCAUUGGAACUGUGCCUGUUGGUCGUGUUGAGACUGGUGUCCUUAAGCCUGGUAUGGUAGUGACCUUUGGCCCCUCUGGUCUGACCACUGAAGUUAAGUCUGUUGAGAUGCACCAUGAAGCCCUCUCUGAGGCUCUCCCUGGUGACAAUGUUGGAUUCAAUGUCAAGAACGUUGCUGUUAAGGAUCUCAAGCGUGGUUUCGUUGCUUCAAACUCUAAGGAUGAUCCUGCAAAGGAGGCUGCCAGCUUCACCUCUCAGGUCAUCAUCAUGAACCACCCUGGGCAGAUUGGAAACGGAUAUGCCCCAGUCCUUGACUGCCAUACCUCCCACAUUGCUGUGAAAUUUUCCGAAUUGCUGACCAAGAUCGACAGGCGAUCUGGAAAGGAGCUUGAGAAGGAGCCCAAGUUCUUGAAGAAUGGUGAUGCAGGGAUGAUAAAGAUGGUUCCCACCAAGCCUAUGGUUGUGGAGACUUUCUCUGAGUACCCACCACUUGGACGGUUUGCUGUCAGGGACAUGCGUCAGACUGUGGCUGUUGGUGUCAUCAAGAGCGUUGAGAAGAAGGAUCCAACGGGUGCUAAGGUCACCAAAUCUGCUGCCAAGAAGAAAUGAGAUUGCAUUUGAGAAGCCGGGAUAGUUUCUAAGUUUUGGUCUUAUUUUUGUCUGGUAGUAAUUGUAUGGAAAUAUUUUGACCAUUUUUUAUAUGCUUUAUCGUGUAUUGUUUUGGUUCCGAAAUUUAUCAAG